rnacentral:lncRNA from 1 species
UUUUUUAGGGUGUUGUUUUAGAAAGAAAAAAAAAUUACUGUUAUAAGGAGUGCAUAACGAGAUUUUAAAGUGCUAAUAAAAGUAAUUUUUUUUUAAAAUAUAGCAUUUACAUAUAAAUAUUAGAUGACAAAAAAUUUUGGGGGCCUUUUGCAAUUGCACGUUUCGUUCUCUCCCCCUUGAUGAUAUUUUAAACUGAUUAUAAUUCAUCGAGUAGGAGAUUUAUACUUGAGUGCAAAGAGAUGAGUAAUGUGCCUUAAUCAACUGACUUAAUGCACGUAUAUUGAUAAUAGGUCUAAGAUUUUAUGCGUUUGAUCCCAUACAAUGUACCAAACCCCCUCCCCCUUUUAGAAACCAAAAACCCCACAUUAAUCCUUAAAACUCACUAGCAUAUGGGCAUACACAAAGUGUGUGAGAAAAUUUUUUAUUUUUGUUUUUGAAAUAGAAGGAGAGAGGAAGAGAGUGAUAGAGAUUGUGGGAGUGGGAACUUUUUAUUUUUAUUAUUUUUUAUUUUUUAUAAUUAGAGAUAUAUUAAGAUUAUAUGUAGGUGAGACUUAAAAAAACAGCAAAAUUUAGUUGUGUGAAAUUACAUUUCUGCCUCAUAUUUCUUAUUCACGUUCUGUUUUAAUUAGAGGGUUAAACUGGUAAUUUCAUAGGAUUUUGGUUAACAAUGAGUGUUUUUUUAAUUAGUAGAGAUAAGCAACCUCUUUGAAAAUAAAGUCUUCUCCCUUUGUCUUAAAAGGUUUAUUCAUGAAUUAAGGAGUAAUCCCAAUACUUGCAGAUGCAGUCUUCUUAGUGCAUUAAAUCUAAAUCAUAAUUAGGAAAUUAAGAAGUCUAAUUUCUGAAAAAUAAAUAUUUUAUAAGUAGUUGAAAAUUUUACCUGGUAGUUCUACUUUUAGGACAUAGUCUUGAUCUGUUUGAAACCAAUCAGUACAGGUUUGGCCAGAGCUUCUGAGACCAGACAGCAAGAUAUCCGACUCAAACUCCCACAGUGGGAAGGCAUCAGAAGGAUCAAAAAAUUUCCCAAACAGCAAAGGACUGAAAAAAGAUGCACCACCAAAGACCUUCUGCACUGUUGGAUUUGUGCUGCCUUGAGCCAUGAAUCUUCUGAACACAUCUUCCCUCAAUAAAACACACCAUUUCUGCGGAGUUUGAUCGUCUCUUACGACUUCAAGCUGCUUCCUACUAGUAGUAGUAGUAGUCAUUGGAGAAGAUUGGAGGAGCUAGAGAGAUCACUUUUGAGUGUAUGGUGGAGAGAGGUUAGAGGGUUGCUUGGUGUUUAUACUGGAAGGAGAAGCACUUUGGAGAAAAGUAGAGCACAAAUUCCCUGCCGAGAAUAUUUUGGAGGGCUGGAAAGCUAUUUGGAAUAUUUUCUUUUUCUAGAUUUUUUCUCAAUGGUGUGAAGAAAUCACUUAUGGCAGCCCCAAGGCUAAGCACGUAACAUGUUCUUCUUUUGUUUCAACCAUGGAUGUUUUCUCAUUUGUCUCUAACGACACAAGGUUGGUUUUUGUUCUUUGGUACACAAAACAAGAAGUUAUGAAGACUAUUUUGUAACCAUAGAUGAGUGCCGAUGGAGUAAUCACUACAUCAAAAUUGGUUUUUUUUUUUUUUUUUUUUUUUUUUGGUCACAUCGCGUGCCUUAAACUGAAUUUAAGACGCACAAGAAAUUUGUGCUAAAAAUAUUAUUAACAAGAAGGAUAAUUUACACACCAUAGACUACACACGAUAAAAGGACCAAUUUCUUGUAGCAUGAAUAUGUGUUAGAAUACGAGUGUCCAAUUUAAAAUAAAUUGACAAUAAGUGCAAAGAUUUUAGAUCUUCUCACAUGAAAUAUUCUCUAACACACGACAUUUCAUGUCUAGAAUUUCCCAAGGAUAUGUAAGACAUGUUUAAUUUAUAAUGAGUGACGUGGAAGCACAUGUGGUUGUUACAUUUUACACGCGUAUAAGAUGCUGCCAUUAUUAUAUUAGAGACUAAACCCUAAACUGUAAACACCUAAACUCGCUUUUGCUACAUCAAAUACACCCAUUGUGCUGUUCUCCAUGCAGACUACCUUUCUUUUCCAGCUAAACUAAAGAGUAUUAAAGUGCCAAUAAGGGAGUUUACCUUUGCUUUUUAUAUACAAAUAUCCCGAUCUGGUACUCAUAAAGGUUGUGGGAAAGGAAUAUUUGUCACACAUUUACAUCUGUUGGGUGUCUUUCUCUCUCUGUCAUGUAAAUGUAAAUGUAAAUGUUUGCACUUCCUCCCAUAAAGAAAAAAAAAAAAAAAAAAGCUUAUGUGGAGAGCUGCUUUUUCCAAAAGAAGGAUUAGUAUCUGCAUGAUUGAUGCUGAAUUUCUAAGUCCACUGGGAAAUUAUCAUGAAAGGUGAGGACUAAUAUCUGCUGCAAUGCUAGAAUAAUUGACCCCUGUAUUGUGAUUCAUCAUCUUCAUCCCCCACUGACUGAAGUACGAUGGGAGCAGCUAGGAUAAGGCAAUUAUUUCUGGUGCUCGAUAAGGCAAUUAUACUCUCUGCUCGGAACAUAAAAUUCAGCGAGUGGAGCAGAGUAAUCUAUUUGUAAAUUCUUUUUCUUCUUGUUAUUUCUCGAUAGGUGGAUGGAUAUAGUAGCGCUUUUAUUAAAGUUGAAGAUAAAAAUAGAUAUUGACUUACUGCCUAAUUGUGAGAGCUCAUAACUCUUGCGAGAUAGGAUCCUAGUUGACUGGCUUGAUACAACAAUUUAUUUAUUUUAUUUUACUCAAUACCAUUUCCUAAUUGGAAAUGGCAUCCUCUCAAACAGAUAAUGGUGAUUCUUUUGUCAUUUGUGUUCUGACACUAAGAUAAGUAUGUAAGUACAUGGUUAGAUACUGCACAUAAUCAAUCGAGUUCUUGCAUAGAGUUUUAUCAACAUGUCAAGCAAGUAACUCUCUAGUUGUAAUAAUGCAAAUUUAUCCUUAAACCUAAGUUAUCAUUGUUUGUCAUGCGGAUAGGUCUGUGAUUUUGUGAUUCUGCAUUACACCUCCGAGUAAGUCGAAUACUCACAAUGUUUUAAAAAUCCUUCAGCAGGAAUUUUAAGUAAUUUUCGAUAACAAGUAUUGAAAGACUUAGGUUUGGAUCAUUAAUGUAAAUGGAUAACCACAUUUGGGGUUUUAUUACGCUGUUGAUGAGAUUAAGAGUAUUGGUUGCAUGUCGUCCAAUAUCCCAAUGUGGGUAGGGUGUUGGGUUUUUACCCAUGUGUCUUGGAUCCCGAAGUCCCUGAUCCCUAAAAUUAUAGUAAUAGUUUUGAACUUUUCCUCUUCUCCCUAUUAAUAGUAAGAUUUAUAAAAUAAAAAAAUAAAAAAAGAGAGUAAGAGUAUUGGUUAUUCGAAAAUUAUUGAAUUGCAUUGUAGUUCCUGUUGAAUUGGUUUUAUUACAGUUGUCCUAAAUUGGUUUGGGGGCGACAAUAUGCGGCUAGACGUUGCUCGUAGUCAAUGAGAUAUUCUGAAAUGAUAACUUAUCAUUAUCAUUUAAGGUAAACUAAAAUAAGUUUUAAAUUCGUUAAAAUAAACAAAGAGUCGAAUUAAUCUCAUUACCUUGUCAAUUAGAAACUAAAUGAUCGUAUACCCAAUACGAAAGCUAAAAGAAAUAUGUUCUAGUGAUACAAAAAAAAGUAAAUUACUAAGAUUUGAAUAAAUUAAUUAAUUAAAUUUAUUAUUCAAAUGAGACUAUAAAAGUUUAGAAAAUAAACCAAGUUUAAAUUGGGCCUAUGUAGGACAUGUUAGUUAAACCACUUUGGGUUAAAUGAGUGACAAAGGCCCAAACAAGGGCCCCUAAACCCUUGGGUUAAACCAUACUUUCUUAGCACUUGGGAGGUGUCAAGAGUUAAAUGGUCUCUUCCUUGAGGUCCUCUCGAAGAAUCCCGGUGGAUUAAACAGAACCCUUCUCUUGAAGAUUCGCUUAGGUACCGUUUGGUACACAGACGGGAUGGAACGGGAUGAAACGAGACUGGACGGGACAGAACAAAGAUUUCGUGUCAUGUUUGGUAUUAGCAAGAUGGAACAAAACGGAACGGGAUUAAAUGACUAACUUACCAUUUUAUUUGACUCUCCCUCUCUCUCCCGUUUCUCUGCUUUCUCUUCUUCCAUACGUUUCAUGUUCUUCGCAUGCCUAGAUUGAUCCCAGUAAAAAUCAAUCUUAGUAAAUCAAACUCAUACUUUCUCUUCAUUUCAUUUUCUUUCUCUUCAAUUCAAACCCAUAAUUCUCUUUUUUUUAAUUUCUUUCUCUUCAAACCAGACACAGAAAAAUCCCAAAUUAUUAUUUUAGGGAAAAACUAAUGAAAUCUCGAAAGUUCGUAUUCAAACAACCACUUUUACUAUAAAACUUACAAAAUUAAACUAAAAAAGGUGAAAUUGAACAAAAUGCCACGUUCUUAGCCUCCACCGGAUGCUCUUCAUCGAUGUGGCAGCAAAGCCCAACAACAUCAAAAUCCUCGGCGCAGAAAGGGCACAAAAACUCAGCCUUUAACUCAUCGUCUCCGUCAGUCUCUUUGUGCGAAAAUAGAUCUGCACGACACAAACCGCAAUCAUCAGCACCAAAAACCACCCAUAAAAAAUCAAGAAAAUCAUCAACAAACAAUGAACACCGCUAGAGGCAGUUUGGAAAAACUCACCGGAUCACGAUUGGUACCGCCUCGACGAGGAGGUCGAGAAGAGACUGCUCCACAAAUUAUCAGAGUCCAUUUUCUAUGCAGUACAAAAUCAAAUCAUGGCGACUAAGUUUCAAUUUACAGAGGCUUCGUCGGAGCGUCGGAGAAGAAGGUGGAGCGCGGAGGUGACGGCGCCAGAGAAGAAGGUUAAGCACGGAGGUGACGGCGCCAGAGAAGAAGGUUGAGCGCGGAGGUGACGGCGCCGGAGAAGAAGGUAGAGCACGAAGGGAUUGAACCGGUAGCCAUGGUUUGGGUUCAUAUGGGUUUGUUGGGAUCGAAUUCGAAGAGAGGGAGGCUACGGGAGAGAGAGGAAGGGUAGACAAUGGAAUUAAUGAAAAAGAUGAAGGGUAUUGUUGUCCAAAAAAUUAUAAAUUUGUGUUCCAUGGGAUGGAACAACCCAUUCCAGGGGAGGUAUGUGGAACCAAAAUUUAACCCAUUUUCGUUCCGUGGGACAGGCGUUCCACACAAUUUAAGCGCACCAAACGUGGGAGAACGCGUCCGUCCCACUCUGUUCCGUCUCGUCCCACGUACUAAACGCACCCUUAAAAGACUAUUACAUAUUAAUUUUGUUUUGAGUAUAUGUGAGGAUUAAAUGCGGAUUAAUUACAAAAUUAUAUUAGUUUAGAUCUAAAAACUUAAAAUAUUAUCAUGCUUUCGACCGCUGUAAGGAAUCAGCAUACAAACAUAGUUAUGGUUUAAACCAACCAUUGCAUGUCGAUUUCGAUGAGAAAAUUUUAAAUUGCAACUGUAUCUCGUUCAACUUUAGUGUCUUCGACACUAGAAGGUGUAAUUUUUUUUUAUAAUGUUUACAUUAAAAAAAAUCAUUGGGGUGAGAGAAUAAAUUGGUUGUGAACUCGUCAUUUUCCAAAUUUGCACUUAAAACCUCUUACAUAUAAGUGAAGAUGAAUGUCAGUAGACCAUAAUAAUAAGUGGCACAUCAAAAAAUAAAUUGGUUAAACGUAUCAUUUCAACUUCAAUUCAAAGGGUUAUCUCGUGGUAUAGGAUUAUAUGCAUCAUAUACGUGCUAAUAUCUUGCACAAUUACAUAAACGUGUCAAACUGUAUCAUUCUGGUUGGACGAGUUGUCCCAAAACAUGAGUUGUAUAUUAAUCAUGUUAAACAAGUCGACAAGAUUUUGACGAACCAAACAUGUUUAUUUCGUAAUGUUUUCAAAUAGAGUUAUCAUGUCGUGUCAAGAAUUAACACUCUUAAAUUGCAGGUCUCACUUAGAAAAGUACGUUAAUAUUUUUUAUCAAUCAUUUAUAAAAAUAUUAAAAUGAGAAAAAUGAUAACAGAAAUGUUAUACUCUAAAUUUAUAACGUUAUCAAAUGCUUCAACAUUACCACUGAUGAAAAAGGAAAAACUCAAUUUUCAAUAUCUUCUACAUGAAAUAAAAUUAGUCGAUAACACAAGGUGUUUGUUUGCCCUCACUAAGUAGGAUUGGACUGGAUUGAACUAGCUGUUAGUCUAAUACUGUGUUUGUUCUAUGCUGAGACUAAUAUUAAUGAGACUAAAGGGGACUAGUAUGGACAAAACCCUUCACUAAGAGGUCUUAGCGAGACCCUCCCAAUAACCAUGAGACUAGCUAAGACUAUCCUCUCUCGUCCUCGUCAUGCUCAACCACCACUCCCGAUAAACUUCUCGUCAUCUCCGGUCACCUAGAUCAUAAUAAAAUAUUAAUAAUUUAUAUAUUAAAUAAUAUAAUAAUAGAAUUUGUUAUUAUACAGCUUCUUAGUCCAACACUGCACCAAACGCUUCACUAAGUUAGUCCAACUUAGUCUAGUCUAAACAAAUCCAACUUAAUCCUUGAAACUAUUCUAAUCCGAAAUAGUUCGGCGCAACAAACGUUGAUAAUAUUCCAAUUUGGACACGCACACACUUACUGUGGUACAAGAGGGGGGAAAAAACUAAAAAAAUUAAAAAUUAAAGGAAAAAGGAAAAGGAAAGAGACGGGAAACGAAUUUAAACCUUUGUCGACAUGUUCUGGUCAAUACCGCCAAUGUCUUUUUUACGAAUUUAACAGCUGACAAAAACAUUCCUUAAGCUCCUCUGGGUAGAUCUGGUCAGCAUCGAACACACAUAUAUAAGGUUUUCACACGAGGAGCCUUUUUUGCAUUCCCAUUUGACAUUUGGAACCCAUUUGGAAAUUUAUUCAAUUUCAGGGCUUUUUCUUCAAGGAAAUUAAGGUGAAUAUUGAAUUUCAGCUCCACAUGAGCUAUUUCUGGUCUGUUUCUUUCUGGGUUUUGAAUUUUUUGUGAUUUGGUUCAAUAUUUUGGCUGCUUUGGAGAAGAAAAAUUCUGGGUUUCCUUAAUUUUGGUAUUGAAUAUCUUCCUAUUGUAUUCAGAGUUCAAAUUCUCACGAGAAAAUAUUUGGUGGGUAGGUGAAGAUUUUCUUGAGGGUAGGUGAAGAUUUGCUUGUAUUUGCUCGAAAUUGGGAUAUUAUAGAUGUUUUCUUGAGGGUAAUCGAAUUGGGUUGGUGCCAAAUCGUGAAAGUUUGAAGCUUUUGUGUGGGUUUUGCGCGAUGAAGGUGUUCUAGGGUUUUGGUUAUGAGUGGUUUUGGGAUUGAUGAAAUGAGAAGGAUAUUGAACGUUGAGAACGACGAUCCGACAAAAAAUGGGUCUUAUGAAGACAAGUCGUUUUAUUGUUUUUGUUAUUCUGCUAUGUGCUUCAGCAUCAAUGAGCUCAGAGGAGAGCAGAACCACAGAGGAAGUUUUUCUCAGUCAACUAGUUGAUCCAGCAACUGGAAAGAUUGAUGGGGACAUGGUAACACAUUAUAUAACUCUUUUUGUUUCAGCUUGAUAACUUAUCAUAUUUGUGAGUUGUAGAUUAAUUCAAUACAUGAUAAAUUUGGUCAUGUUAUAACGUUGUUCGUUUUUAAAUUUAUAUAGACGCAUCUUAUAUAAAGAUCACAAAAGUAGGGGAGCAUCAUAUCAUAUUUGUGGAUGGAAAAGUAGAUUCAAAAGUUGGUUAAAAAGUCUAAGCUUUUGAGUUCGUGGAAGUCCGUGUGGAGCUUAUGAAAUGUUUAAGGGACGAAGCUGUUUUUUACUGAAAUUUAUCUUGAUUAUGUUAAUUUAAUGAGAAUGUUUGGGGGUAACUUAUUUCGAUUCCAGAAGUAGUAUUUGGCUUAAGCAGUGCCUUGGUAAUUUUAACAAAUUAUAUAUUGCAGAUACAAGGCCUUAACAGAAGACAACUUAUAUGAAAAAUAAUACUUUGAUGUGUUUAAGCUUCACUUUCACCAGCCUUCACCAGUGAAGUUUGUAUUCUUCACUAAUAUUCUCAUUUUUGCAAAAGUUGAACUAAAACAUAUGAAAUUAUGUUGCCUGCAGGCACAGCUGUUAUGGAUUAGUUGCAGGGUAGAUUUGAUCCAUAUGACGGAAGCUAUUGAACAUCUUGACUUGUGGUUAGCAGAGGAAGCAUCUAGUGGCACAGAUGAAAUUAAUUCAAAAACACGGUUAUUGGGAAAAGAAAAGUUUCAAAAGCUUAUUAAUGUCCUGCAUCCUGAGGUGAAACAUACUCUUUCAGAUUGUUUAAGAAAACAUAAUCUCUUGUUCAGUGUGUCUGGAGAAGAGGGUGCCUCUAAGAUUUGGUAUGCUAAGUAUAUUGAGUCCCUAUUUCCCAGACCUUAUGUUCCAAGAAGAAAUUUGGCUAGUGAUUUGCCUCAGAGCAUUCUUGAUGUACCUUCUCCAGCCUUUGCACCAAGAUAUUCUCAACGUAGUCCAGCACCAUCUCCUGGUCUAGCACCUUCCACUUCUCAAAGUCCUAGUCCUAGGCCUGCACGCCAUUCUCCACAAGGAUCAUUUUUUCCUUCGGAUCCCAUAAAUUCGAUUCUUCAAUCUUCAGGGCCAGCUUCCGGUUCAAAUAUACAGGAACAUAAAGGACGAGAUGAACAUAAAACAAUUGUUACUGCUGUUGUUAUAACUGCAUCAGUAACAUUUAUUGUUGCAGCAUUGCUCUUUUUAUGCUGUACUAAAAUCUGUAGGAAUGGGAAAAAGGGUAGACAAAAUGAUGAGAGGCCCCUCCUUAGCCUGAGUUUAACUGAUUCUGCUGGUAUAAUUCUCGGAUAUCUUGUUUAUAUUAUCUUCAGUUGUUUGGAGCCCUUCCAUUUCGACAUUUCUUUGAAAUUUUUUAUGUUUCAGGUUCUUCAUACAAGUCUUAUGCUAUGGGAAAUUCAAUGAAAGAAGAGAAGCUUGACCAUCAAUCAUUAGGUAAUAACUCAAAGUCAUCUCUGGAAGGCCUAAUCUUUAAUAGCAUUUUCGCAUCGAGUCUCAUGUUCUCAAUGCUUCACUAAAUGAAAUUGCAGAAUUAGGAUCCCCUGGAGGUGCUUCCAAGUUUGACGCGUCCAACAAUAUCAAUGGACUAGUACCCCCUCCUCCUGGAAUGUCUCCUCUGAAGCCCCCUCCUGGCAGAGCAAAACUUCUCCCACCUGAACCACCUUCUUCUUUUAGGCCUCCUCCCAGCAGGGCUAGUCCUCCUCCACCACCUGUACCUGCUGCUUUAAAAGCCGCAGGAAGUGCAGGCCCUCCCCCACCACCUCCUCCUGCACCACCUGGUCCUCGCCCCCCACCACCUUCUGGUCCUCAUCCCCCACCACCUCCUGGCCCUCGCCCCCUACCACCUCCAAAGAGUGGCGUUCCUCCUCCUCGGCCACCUCCAGCAAUGGCUAUUGGUUCAAAGGUAGCUCGACCUCCACCUCUUGCACCAAAACGUCCACCGGAUGCUGGAUCGGAGGCUGAUGGUGAUGCUCCGAAAACCAAGCUGAAGCCCUUUUUUUGGGAUAAGGUUCUAGCAAACCCGGAUCACUCAAUGGUUUGGCAUCAGAUUAAAUCAGGAUCGUUCCAGUAAGUCUCAGUUUUCUUACCUUUUCUUCUUUGUGAUCCAUGAAUCAUUAGGUAUUAUAAGCCUCUGAAAACAAUGUGGUUCUUAUACAGGUUCGAUGAAAAUAUGAUUGAAACUCUCUUUGGGUAUAACGCCGCUGAUAAAAACAAAAAUGAACUUAAUAAAGAGUCUUCAUCCCAAAAUCCUACGCCCCAGCUCAUUCAACUUAUUAAUCCCAAAAAGGCACAAAAUCUAUCAAUUCUUUUGCGGGCAUUGAAUGUGACCAUAGAAGAAGUCUGUGAUGCAAUUCGUGAAGGUAACUUCUCUCCUUCUUUCUUUCCAUGGCAUCAAAUAAUAUGCAAGUAUUGUCCUUUACUCAUUUUACAGUGUGUCGAAAUGAAAUGUACUAGAAGGGAUGCAUGAAUUUCCUAUCGGGAAGCCUGCAAGUUAGUAAUUUUAUGAAGUUUGACUUGGGUCAGUUCAAGUGGCAGAUGCAAUUAGGGCUAAUGUUACUCUGCAAAUUCUUGGCGAAACAUUUUCUUUGAGGAGUUACUUGUCCACUUUUCAGUACAGCAUUUAGUUGAAACAAAAUUAACCUAGUGCUUGUGGAGUAAGAAAACUUCUGAAGAUUAAGGGAAGGAAGUGAAGGCCGAAGGUCUUGUGGGACAAAGUUUGUUAAUAGGAUUUGAUGUGUUUUGAUUUACUUGAUAUACCUUUCUUCCUCAUUCACGCAGCUUGGAAGGCAGCAAUCUUCGAUGUAGUUGUGAUUUGUUGUUUUUCUGUCAUAUUAUCUUUAAAAUUUUAUGGUGGACUUAGCAGCCGGUAGACUAGAGAUUCUGUACAUCUUGAUGCGUAGAUAGUUUGUUCACUCUGCUUAUGAUUUAUGCUUUUUAUAACCAUUUCCCCCUGAACUGUUCCCCGAUAAUCAAAUUGGACACUGAAAUGCAUCAAUAUGCCUCCCAAACUCAGUGAUUAUGCAUCAAUGUACCCCACGGCAUCUGAUCCAUUAGUUUUUCACUUAAAAAUUGUCAUGCAGCAAGCACAUAAUGUAAUUUCAGGGGUAGAACGUUGAAAUGAAGGAAAACUUAUUUAUUGAUAUCCCCGAUAAGCUACAAAUAUGUACAUAUACAUGAGUCAAAAUAAGCACACAAGAGGGAGCCUUCACAAAGGUUGCUUAGGAGAAGUCUCAGCAGUCGGUAGAGCCCCAGAAAGAGAAGGCACCGGAGGGGGAUCAUUUGGAGCCUCAGUACUGGACAGAACCCUAGAAGGAGGAGGCAUCAGAGGUUGAUCAUUUGGAGCUUCAUUACGCGGUACAGCCCCAGAAGACGAAGGCAAUAAAUGCCUUUGGAACAAACCCACAAAUCUCUGAUGAUCAAGUAAAACCUGACCAUCAGUUUCCUUCAUCUGGUCAAGCUUCCUCUUCAUGUUUGUAGCAUAGUCAUGUGCGAGCCGGUGCAACUGUUUAUUCUCAUGCUUGAGCCCUCUAAUCUCCUGUUUGAGACUCAUCACUUCAGCCGCCAAUGAUUCAACUUGGCGGGUUCGAGCAAAUAGGCGUUGGGCCAUAUUAGACACAGAACCUGCACACUGAACACUGAGAGCCAGCGAAUCCUUAACAGCUAACUCAUCAGACCGUUUGGAAAGUAGUCUGUUAUCUUUGGGAGUGAGAAGGUUCCUGGCCACCACCGCAGCGGUCAUAUCAUUCUUCAUCACGGAAUCCCCAACGGUAAGAGGACCAGUAGGGGAGACAAAGGAUGGGCGCCAUAUGUUGUCUGGAGAAGGCGGGGCUGCCUCUUCAACAAGGUUCAAGUCAAAACGACGGUCGGAGGGGCCAGACAUUUUUUCAAAAGGUGUUGAAGAGAGAAGAGGUCGGACAAAUCAAGAUCUUAGAAGUGCAAGAAUGAAGCUUCUACUGGUGGAGAUUCAAGUGUGCUUUGGAACUUAAUGCCAGCCCCUAUAAAAAAUCUGCACUCGACGAAGCUUCAGAAAUCGAAGAGGCGCCUGCUCAGAAAUUGAAGAGGCGUUUGCUUUCUCAAAAGCUGGGCUGCUUAGAGAUCACGAGGGUUGAUCUCAGAAAUCGAAGAGGCGUUUGCUUUCUCAAAAGUUGGGCUGCUCAAAGACCACGAAGGCCGAUCUCAAAAAUUGAAGAGGCGCUCGCUUUCUCAAAAGCUGGGCUCCCCAGAGACCACGAGGGCCGAUCUCAGAAAUCGAAGAGGCACCUACUUUUCCAGCCUUUUCCAGCCUUGUCAGCACCUGUCACACGCACACUCAGUUUUGCGGAAAUUAUGGGCAUUCUGUCAAAGACUCUGACCAAGAAGGGUAAAAGAAUAGCAAAGAAACAGCACUAACAAAGUUUAGACCCAUAAAUUUUGAAGGUCUAGCUACCAUAUUAUUACCCACAAGGGUAAAGGAACAGUACCACUGCUGGAUAAUUGGAAAGUCCCUGUGUGUCAACCUCUGUGCUUCGUGGCAAGGUAGACUAGCAAACAUGCCCAACCUUUACUCACAUUCGAGAAAACACUCCCAAUAAGAUUGCUUGCUCCAAAAUCGAAGAGGCACCGUCCUCCGAAUCUCGAGAGCCAGACUCCCAACAUGACUACUUUCUUAAAAAUCGAGGAGAGGGUAAAGGAACAGUACCAUUGCUGGAUAAUUGGAAAGUCUUUGUGUGUCAACCUCUGUGCUUCGUGGCAAGGUAGACUAGCAAACAUGCCCAACCUUUACUCACAUUCGAGAAAACACUCCCAACAAGAUUGCUUGCUCCAAAAUCGAAGAGGCACCGCCCUCCGAAUCUCGAGAGCCAGACUCCCAACAUGAUUACUUUCUCAAAAAUCGAAGAGACACUGCUCCCCGAAUCUCGAGAGCCAGACCCCCAGCAUGAUUGCUUUCUCAAAAAUCGAUGAGGCAUCGUUUCUCCGAAUCAAUUGAAGAGGCGCUCGCUUUCUCAAAAGCUGGGCUGCUCAGAGACCACGAGGGCCGAUCUCAGAAAUCGAAGAGGCACCUACUUUUCUAGCCUUGUCAGCACCUGUCACACGCACACUCAGCUUUGCAGAAAUUAUGGGCAUUCUGUCGAAGACUUCUGGUGAAGUAGAAAGCACAUGAAAUCUUACUGUUCAAUCACCCACUUCCCACACGCAACAAUAGCUCAUGGGUACCACAAAUAACUUUGCCAAAGUUCUCUGCCAAAGUUGAGCACGUGAAGCUUGCAGCUCCCACUACAUCGCUCUAACCAAGAAAGGUAAAAGAAUAGCAAAGAAACAGCACUAACAAAAGUUUAGACACAUAAAUUUUGAAGGUCUAGCUACCAUAUUAUUACCCACAACUGUAAAGGAACAGUACCACUGCUGGAUAAUUGAAAAGUCCCUGUGUGUCAACCUCUGUGCUUCGUGGCAAGGUAGACUAGCAAACAUGCCCAACCUUUACUCACAUUCGAGAAAACACUCCCAAUAAGAUUGCUUGCUCCAAAAUCGAAGAGGCACCGUCCUCCGAAUCUCGAGAGCCAGACUCCCAACAUGACUACUUUCUCAAAAUCGAAGAGAGGGUAAAGGAACAGUACCAUUGCUGGAUAAUUGGAAAGUCCCUGUGUGUCAACCUUUGUGCUUCGUGGCAAGGUAGACUAGCAAACAUGCCCAACCUUUACUCACAUUCGAGACAACACUCCCAACAAGAUUGCUUGCUCCAAAAUCGAAGAGGCACCGCCCUCCGAAUCUCGAGAGCUAGACUCCCAUCAUGAUUACUUUCUCAAAAAUCGAAGAGACACUGCUCUCCGAAUCUCGAGAGUCAUACCCCCAGCAUGAUUGCUUUCUCAAAAAUCGAAGAGGCAUCGUUCUCCGAAUCUCGAGAGCCAGAUACCACAGACCACUUUUUCAAAGUGCUCUGACAGAGUUAAAACAUGUGAAACUGACAGCUCCCACUACCGUGCUAUGACCAAGCAGGGUAAAGGAAUAGCAUUACUACUUGUUGUUAGGGAGACUCCUAUAUAUGUCGACCUCCAUCCCCAACGGACAGGCAGACCUGCAAAAAUGCUCAACCCUUCAUCAUAUCUGAGAGGGCACUCCCAACGAAGCCUUUCGAAAUAUUCAGCUUUCUUUCCCCCCGAUAAUACCUCUGCAAACAAGCUAUACUAGAGCAAGAAUAUCUCAUAUCAUCAGGGUUAAAAGCAAGAGUAUCCCAUAUCAUGCUUUUUCCCUGUCUUUUCUUUUGGCCUUGUUUUUACCUGCAAGACAAGGAGAAAGAGAGCAAUCAGUCAGCACUUGGAAUCAAGCUUCCAGCCAGGAACUGACUGCCUGGAACCCCUUACCUGAUUACUUACCUGGCAUUGCUCUCGAGUACUCAUCUUCAACAUCUUAUGUUUCCAGGGAAGAUUCCGCAUCUGCUUGAGGAACAGAUAGGGCAAGUGCGAAGGAUACAAGGAAGCAUGUGGAGACAAGCGUAACAGCACACGUGCCGAUACAUUCAUUACUCUGUCAAAAGCAAAAGUAUCCCAUAUCAGCAGGGUGGAACGUACUCUAGAUUUGAUGGACUUGUUUUGACCCUCAAAUUCUUCAGUCGGCCUUAUACUCUGGAGGAAACCAGAAAACCCUCCAGCUCAGUUCAAGAAUAAGCCUGUGGAAAGUUACUUCUUCAAAAGCAAAAGUAUCUCAUAUCAUCUCUUCUCAUUUUUCUUCUCUUUAUCCUUCAUGCUGCUGCAAGAUGGGGAGAAGGUGAACAAUCAGUCGGAGCUCUGAUUGCUUACCUUGUCUGUCACCUCUUUCAGCAGACCCCCUAGCUCGGCGACUUGGGGGACUCCUACUACAUGGUUUGUAUCGCGCUUGACCAAGCCUGAAACUACAAGUAAGCUUCAAGUGAAAUUGAUACAUUACCUUGUGCAUCUCCACCAGUUAAAGAUACCACCCCUGGAUGGAGGAAGAGUACUUCCAGAGAAGAUGCCACAUCUACCUAUGAGACAGAUAAGGCAAGUCAAGACGACACCACACUCCGAUACUUAGAAGUUUCGUGAUUACGAGAUCAUUCUCUCACAAUAUUUCCUAAUUUCAUUUGUACUAAAUCAUUCACUAGUACUCACUAAAUGAGAGCUUGAACCUAUGUACUUGUGUAAACCCUUCACAAUUAAUGAGAACUCUUCUAUUCCGUGGACGUAGCCAAUCUGGGUGAAUCACGUACAUCUUGUGUUUGCUUUCCUAUCUCUAUCCAUUUAUAUACUUAUCCACACUAAUGACCGGAGCAAUCUAGCGAAGAUCACAAAAAGCGAUCGUUUUCGCUACCUAGGAUCUAUCUUGCAAGAGAACGGAGAAUUAGAUGGAGAUCUCAACCAUAGAAUACGAGCUGGAUGGAAAGAGUGCAUCCGGCGUGUUGUGUGACCGUCGUAGGCCACUGAAGCUCAAGGGAAAAUUUUAUAGGACGGCAAUAAGGCUAGUGAUGUUGUAUGGCACAGAAUGUUGGGUGGUGAAGCAUCAACACGUACACAAAAUGGGUGUAGCGGAGAUGAGGAUGCUUCGUGGGAUGUGUGGGCACACGAGAAAGGAUAAGAUUGGGAAUGAGGAUAUCCGAGGUAAAGUAGGAGUAGCCGAAAUUGUAGGAAAUAUGAGAGAAAAUCGGCUCCGGUGAUUUUGAACAUGUGCAAAGAAGGCCGACUGACGCUCCGGUUCGAAGAUGUGACUACGGGACAGAGGUCCAGGGCCGAAGGGGUAGAGGAAGACCUAGGACAACUUUGGAAGAGACUCUAAGAAAAGACUUAGAGUACUUGGAUCUAACGGAGGACAUGACACAAAACCGAGCGCAAUGGCGUUCUAGGAUUCAUAUAGCCGACCCCACUUAGUGGGAAAAGGCUUUGUUGUUGUUGUUGUUGUUGUUGGUUGAAAGUAGUAGAAUGGUAUAUUAGACCCUAAAUUGAAGAUUUACAAAGAACAUAUCUGUCUCUUUUUCGCCCCUCCUCUCUAUCUCCCUUUUUCUCUCCUCUUGCUCUUCCCCCUCUAAUAUAUAGUCAAUGUACUCUAACAUGCUAAACAAACGUUACAAAAAACCUAAUUGAACUAAUUAACCAUGUAAUCAAACACUGUAGACUAAGAAUAACAUAAACUACCAAACAUGCUUAUCUACUGUAGGACUUCAAAGCAUUGUUUUUGAAACCCAUAAGUGAAAACUGCCCUCAAUAUUUGGUCAUCCGCUUUGCAUGUGAUCGAUUUGAACAGGAAUUGAAGGAUCAGAAGUUUGGAGCCACCUUUAUGCAUGGUACAAGACUUUGAGGGUCACAUUGAUGCAAUUGAAAGUUGGGGGGCCACUUUGUUUAUGGGAACAUCUUCUCAAAAUUCUUGAGGGAACAUCUUGUCUGACUAAUAGAAUAACAUAUAAAUAAUUCUUAAUAAAGACCGUUUAUACAGUGAGCCAUUAACAUACGUAUAACUUUCUUAAUUGGAUCAGGAAAUGAGCUUCCAUCAGAAUUCUUAGAAACCUUGUUGAAGAUGGCACCAACUCAAGAAGAAGAACUAAAGCUUAGACUGUUCAAUGGUCCACUUUCUCAACUUGGGCCUGCUGAGCGGUUCCUGAAAGCCUUGAUUGACAUCCCAUUUGCUUUUAAGCGAUUGGAAGCAUUACUUUUUAUGUGCACUCUUCAGGAGGAGGCUACUCACCUUAAAGAGUCUUUCGAGACCUUAGAGGUACUGUGUUUCUGAAUUCCAUCAUUUAUAUGAUUUUGCGUGUCAUAGCUCAUCUACGCAUGCUUUUACUUUUCUUAGAUUAACUUAUACUUGUUCAGAGUGCUAAAAAGAAUUAAUAUAGCUACCUAAAUUAUGUUUAUACAACUUAACAAACAAUUAAACAUAGAACACAGUGCAGAUCUAUGUUAAGCUAACAUCGUAUGUUCUCCUACUCUACACAAAGACAGUCUUUUGGGCUAUGCGAAUUAUCAGUUGAUAAUGGAGAAUGCACACCCUUUGUUUGAAAACCUAAACCGAUAAAGAGCCAAAUGCCAAUCGCAAAAGAAAAAUAUACAGUUGAAAUAGCAUGAAUAAGUCUGAUGUAACAGGAGAAAAUGAAUGCCAUGAUUGCAAAGUACAGAUGGGAUUGGUUGCCACUAUGCACAUGUGUUGAGAACUUUAUGUAGUGGCAGACCUGUGGUUGCUUUUAUUUCUGGUGGGGUUUGGACCCCGACUCUUGCUUUACUUCAUCUACAAGCUCUAAUGAUAAAUGUCCCAUGACUGCUAUUUCUCCUUUGAUGAGACUGCUGAAGAGAUUGGAAAAUGUUCGCAGAUAUUUUGUACGGUCUGCUUAUGGUUGAAGUUCACAUCACUUCUGCGAUGACGAGUUUAUUCAGAUUUCAUUUUUAUAUUGCUAAUGAUAUUCGCAUGUUGAAGCAAAGGACAGUAUCAUAUUAAAACUAUCUGUUAGAUAGCUUUCUUGAGGCAAAACGAUAUCAUAUCUAUUAGAUAGCUUAGGCUUAGUCAUAUCAGCAAAGCUGAAGGCUCAAAUGCCGCAGACCAUACUGUCCUUGGGACUUCAGAUAUGGUAUCUAUCUGCAUCUCGGGGACUCCUGGAGAUAUGGUAUCUAUCUGCAUCUGGGGGAGACUCCUGGAGAUAAUCUGGCAUGAGGGUGUAUACGAAUGUACUUUUACAGCAUAUAUAAAAAAUGUCUAUCAGUUUAUAUUAAAAUGGGGUGCAGUUCUUGUUGUUGUAACCUAUCAUUUUUUUGUAUGUGCAUGACAUUGUCUGCGAGCGUUUUUUGGUCCAUAUCUUGAAACGUUGCUAUAAAAAAUAUCUAAAUCAUAUGGCACCUCAUUUCUACGGCAGGUUGCAUGUAAGGAACUGAGAAGCAGCCGGCUUUUCCUCAAGCUUUUAGAAGCUGUUCUUAAAACUGGAAAUCGCAUGAAUGACGGAACAUUUCGUGGUGGAGCACAAGCAUUCAAACUUGACACACUCUUGAAAUUGUCAGAUGUUAAAGGAAUAGAUGGCAAGACAACGCUUUUGCACUUUGUUGUUCAGGAAAUAAUCCGCUCUGAGGGUGUCAGAGCUGCUCGUACAGCAAAAGAGAGCAGGAGUUUCUCUAGCGUCAAAACAGAUGAUCUCCUUGAGGACACUUCCAACGAAACAGAAGAACAAGAACACUAUCGCAGUCUUGGACUUGAGAAAGUUUCAGGUUUAAGCAAUGAACUUGAGAAUGUUAGAAAAGCAUCUGUUUUGGAUGCUGAAAGCUUAACAGGAACUGUUGCCAAACUUGGUCAUUCGCUGAUAAAGACCCGGGACUUCCUGAACACGGACAUGAAAGAUUCAGGGGAAGAUAGUGAGUUCCAUGAAACGCUGAAGAGUUUUGUGCAGAAUGCUGAGGUUGAUAUCACGGGUCUCCUCGAGGAAGAAAAGAGAAUCAUGGCUCUGGUGAAGAGCACCGGUGACUACUUUCAUGGGAAUGCAGGGAAGGAUGAAGGCUUACGACUGUUUAUUAUUGUCCGAGAUUUUCUAAUAAUGCUAGAUAAGGUUUGUAGAGAGGUAAGAUUGACACCAAAAAAGUCGACAAAAGUUCAGAAAAAAGAGACAUCUUCCUCAGAUCCCCGCCAGCCUUCAACAAUGCCAUCUGCCUCCGAUCUUCGGCAGCCUCCUUCUCCUGAUCUUCAUAAGCGGCUUUUCCCGGCAAUCCAAGAUCGACGAAUGGAUAAUUCUAGUUCAGAUGAUGAAAGUUAAUUGAUUUUAUUUGGAGAAGGUAUGUUCUAAACCUAGUUGAAGAAAGAUAACCUCUCUUAUAUUGUAUAGAGGUUCAAUCCAUGUGUGCGCGCAUGUGCAAUUUAAUUAGUAAAAAAGCGAGUUAAGGAUACCAAAUAAGAAAUUCUUGUCUUUGCAUCUUCUCAGGUGACCAUCACUGUACAAUCUCGACAACAGAUGCUUUCGUGGUUCUUCUCAAGAUGUUAUCCAUAUCCACUGAUCACAGAAGGAUUAGUGAAAGGGAGUUAGAGUUGAGCCUGCGGACUAUGCCCUUCUCUUCGCAGUGGAAUUUCACUGGAUUGAACCUACGGUCGCUUUGGAAGGUACCUCCGGUGAUGUUUGACACCUACUCAUGGCUGGCUGUGUACAUCAAUGACUGCUCACUGAUCAGGCGGACGACAGGACUAGAGUCGCAGAACACCAAUACUAUACAGAACUGUGGCUGGUCAUCAUUCAAAAGGCGAACAAUUUCUUGAGCGAUUGUAACUACUGGACCUAACAUCGCGAUAGUACAGCAACCUUCGUUGUAAAUUGGUGUCCUGUUGAGAAUGAACUCGUGACAAAACAACGUUAUUGCCUUCAGAAUGCCCAACGUCCGCAGCAGCGAUUUAAACUAAGUGAUUUUUCCUAUUUUUUGUUCUUCCACCUAUCAUUAUUUGUAUUUUUUUUUUUUGUUCAUAAUUUUGACCUUUUGGGAGUGAAAGGUGUAGCAAGGUAGUUUUGUUACGUAUAGAAUUGUUCAAUUUACUCUUGGGAAUGAAGUUUACUGUCGAGAGAAUGCUUGUAAGGAACGAUCUCUUGGUAAGUCCCUAAAUUCAUUAAAAAUUGCUAAUUUCAUCCCUACUAUUAUAUCCAAAGUUAUUUUAUCAAAAUUUUCGUCAACCUAAGUCACUUAGCAAACUCUAGAGUGUGAUAAUGUCAUUUUAAUUUACCCUCCGAUGUUAAUUUACACUAUUUCUUAUGAAAAAUUACAAAUUUACCCUUCAAAGUUAAUUCCAUACACUAUUUCUUUAUGAAAAACUACCAAUCUACCCUUUAAUGUGUAUCAUAUGCAAGUAACAUGACUUAAAUUGACGAAAAAUUGAAUAUAGUAGUUUAGAAUAUAAUAUUAAGGAUUAAAUUGGUAGUUCACCCUAUUAUAUAAUCACGUGACCAACUUGACGACGUGAAGAGUGAUGAGGAGAGCCAUGACUCCUCAAUUUCUUUGAUGCAUGUGCCAUUUUUUUCAAUUAAAAAUAAAAAAUGACAAGAAUACCCUAAAUUAUAAAGCAGCAGUACUUAUUAUAAUGUCAUUUAGUAUUAUAGUUUAGUAGUAUAUAUCUCCACUUGUAAGUGAGAGAUCUUAGGUUCGAUUCUUGCUAAAGACGAAUUGCUAACCUAUUAUGAGACUAAGCCCACCAUUUCUUCCUUACUAUAGAAAAUAUUGUUGGUUAAAAAAAAAUAGGAGGCGACGUAUCCUGAUAUGAAUCUUUAAGGUAUACAAUUAUAAGUGCAUCAAGAUACAAGUUUGAAAGAUGCACAUUUCUUUAAUAUGCCUUCCUAGUAUAAUUGGCAUCACCAUGAUUACUCGGUACUAAUAAUUAUGUGUUAUAAAUAGGCAAAAGUUAGAGAGAUAACAUUUGCUAGGGACAAAAGCGAGGCUGUUGCAAUAUAUUACACUAACACAAAAUGAUUGCAGAUAAGAGAGAAAUAGGAGGAUACUGAAAAUGUUCUAACUUUUCUUUCUUUCUCACUCUAUAUAUUUUUGAACACUCGUAAUGCUCUAUAUAUAGAGCAAAUACUUUGAAACCAAACAAAUUAUACUAUUAAGCUUGUGAAAAGUUUACUGUAUGCAUGUGGGCAUACAUACUCACUACACUCCCCCUUGGAUGCCCACAUAUUAACAUCAGUUGCCUCGUUAAAACCUUACUUGGAAAAAACCCAGUGGGAAAAAAAACCAUAGCGAAGGAAAAAGAGUACAACUUUAUCCGGAUUGUUGAUAUGGUGUUAAGCAUGCUUAUGUUGCCUCGUUAAAACCUUGAUAAAAAAACCCAGUGGGGAAAAUCCUAAUCGAAGGAAAAAGAGUACAACAUGCAUGUAUCAUGGAUGCUUCCCCUAAAUUGUAUCUCCCCCUGAUUCCUCAUUCUUCAAAUUUGUAAGCUGACGUAAUCGGAUUCUCUGCACCGUAAUCCGAUUCUCUGCACUAACUUCUAAAAUGUGCACUUUGGUAUAGAUUUGGUGAACAUGUCUGCUAAAUUUUCAUUGGAACAGAUUUGUUUGACUUCAAUAACUUUAGCCUUCUGAAGCUUAUGUGCACUAAAAAAUCUUAGAGAUAUGUGUUUAGUCUUAUCACCCUUGAUAAAUCAUUCCUUCAUCUUGGCGACACAUGCUGCAUUAUCUUCAUGGAUGACAGUUGGAGCGUCUGUCUUUGAAGGUAGACCACAUGAAUUCUGGAUGUGAUGGAUCAUUGAUCUUAACUAAGAACAUUCACGACUUGCUUCAUGUAAAACAAUUAUUUCUGAGUGAUUGGAAGAUGUAGCAACUAACGUUUGCUUCGUUGAUCGCCAUGAAAUUGCAGUAUCCCCAUUAGUGAAUACAUAUCCAUUUUGUGAGCAUGCUUUAUGCGGAUCGGAAAGAAAAUCAGCAUCUGCGUAUCCAACAAGGAUCUGGUCAUUUGUGGGCUUGUCUGAGUAGAAGAGACCCAUAUCUGUUGUCCCAUGAAUGUAUCGUAGAACAUCUUUGACUCCCUUCCAAUGACGAAUUGUUGGAGCAGAGCUAUACUUGGCUAACAAGUUAACUAAAAAAGCUAUAUCUGGUCUAAUACAUUGUGCUAAAUACAAUAAAGCACCUAUUGCGCUCAAAUAUGGUACUUCUGAACCAAGGACCAGUUCAUCAUCUUUUUUUGAACGGAAUGGAUCUUUCUUAAUGUCCAAAGAAUGAACGACCAUUGGGGUGCUAAGUGGAUAAGUCUUGUCCAUGCCAAAUUGUUUCAGUAAUUUUUCAAUGUAAGCUGAUUGAUGGACCAAAAUUCCAUUAGCACAAUGCUCGAUCUGCAGGCCGAGACAAUAUUUUGUUUUCCCAAGUUCUUUCAUUUCAAAUUCGUUUUUCAGAUAUUCAACAAUUUUAUUGAGCUCUUCAGGGGUUCCAACUAGGUACAUAUCAUCGACAAAUACUGUCAUUAUAGCAAAUCCAGUAUUUGAUUUCUUAAUGAACACACAAGGGCAGAUGACAUUUUUGAUAUAUCCUUCUUUGAUCAAAUACUCAUUGAGACGAUUAUAUCACAUUCGUCCAGAUUGUUUUAGCCCAUAUAGUUAAUUUGAUUGAGAACAUACCGCGUGGUUUGUUAGUUGCUUCAGGCAACUUAAAUCUUUCUGGGACUUUCAUAUAUAUGUCAAUAUCUAAUUCUCCAUAUAGAUACGCGGUGAUCACAUCCAUAAGUCGCAUGUCAAGUUUUUUUUUGAAAUCAUCAAACUUAUUAAGUAACGGAACGUAAUUGCAUCCACUACAGAAGAUUAUGUCUCUUCAUAAUAAAUUUCAGGUCUUUGUGAAAAACCUUGUGCAACGAGUCGUGCUUUAUAUCUUGCAAUCUCGUUUUUUCUCGUUGCGUUUCCUUGUGAAUACCCAUUUGUAACCUAUGGGGUUCACACCAGGCGGGUUUGGACUACUGGUCCAAAAACACUUUGUCUUUCCAAGGAAUUUAAUUUUGCAUGGAUUGCAUCUUUCCACUUAGGCCAACCAUGUCUCUGCUUACAUUCAUCAACAGAGCGGGGCUCAAUGUCAUCACUUAAUAUAAUUUCAGUGGCUAUUGCAAAUGCAAACAUAUCGUCGAUGAUUAUUUUAUUUCGAUCCCACAAUUCAUUAGUACAUUCAUAAUUUAUGGAUAUUUCUUUACUUUCAUGUACUUCUGUCUCUUCAGGGACAUGUGUCUCAUCAAAGACAUUUUCUUUUUUUAGAAGUAUAGAAUCAUGAAUUGUGGAUUUAUCAUUCAUUUUCUUUUCCCGAAUGAUUUCAUUUGGGUUCAACUGUGCCCUCAUAUUUCUCUUUUGAGGGGCUGAAUUUUUUGAACGUGGAGGUCUACCACGCUUCAGGUAUGCACUGAAUGAAUCAUUUGCUGCCACUUUAUUUUAUCCAACAGGUACAUCAAUUCUUGCAGGUGCAUUUGCAGCUGGUAUAUGUGACUUUGUCACUUUCGAAGCAUCAUUAAAUGUAUAUGGCAUUUGAUUAGCAAUACCUUGAAGAUGAACGAUCAUUUUCAUUUCAUUUUCACAUUAAGUGUUUCAUGGAUCAAAAUGAGAUAAGGUGGGAACAACACAUGUCAGCUCUUGCCGUUCUUCUGAAACGAUCUUUUCUCCCUCUAACGACGGGAAGCAUGUCUUAUCAAAAUGACAAUCAGCAAAACGAGUUGUAAACAUAUCACCAUCAAAGGUUCCAAAUAUCUAAUGAUAGAUGGUGAAUCAAAACCCACAUAAAUUCCCAGUCUGCGUUGAAGUCCCAUUUUAGUUCGUUGUGGCGGUGCAAUAGGCACAUAAACAGCAUAACUAAAAACUCGUAAAUGUGAAAUGUUUGGUUGAUGUCCAAACACGAGUUGUAUUGAUGAGUAUUGGUGGUUGGCUAUGAGUCUCAGUCGAACCAAUAAUGCUACAUGUAAGAUGGCAUGUCCUCAUGCAGAGACUGGUAAUUUCAUUUUCAUGAGCAGAGUGCGGGUUAUUAAUUGAAGCCGCUUGAUAAAUGCCUCUGCUAAACCAUUUUAAGUAUGGACAUGAGGAACUGGAUGUUCAAUAUCAAUGCCCAGUGCCAUGCAGUAAUCAUCAAAGGUUUGAGGCGUAAAUUCACCAGCGUUAUCAAGUCAAAUUAACUUAAUGGGAUGAUCUGGGAACUGUGCUCACAACUUAAUUAUCUGAACAAAAAGUCUCGCAAAAGCUACAUUUCGAGUAGACAAUAGGCAAACAUGUGACCAUCGGGUAGAUGCAUCAAUAAAACCAUAAAAUAUCGAAAUGGUCCACAAGGGAUUGAAUAGGUCCAUAAAUAUCCUUUUGAAUUCUUUGCAAAAGUGAUGGGGAUUCAUCAUCAACAUUUAGUUGUGAUGGUCUAAUUACCAACUUCCCUUAGGAACAAGCCUUGCAAGGGUUAUCAUUUGAGACAUCAAUAUGUCUGCUCAAUAAUGGAUGUCCAUUAGAGUUGGUAAUGAUUAUGCGUAUCAUGGUAGAUCCUUGAUGACCCAGACAGUCAUGCCAAAAUAUGUAAACCUUUAAAUCAAUGAACUUUUGGUUCAUGACAGUAUAUGCCUCAAUUGUCUUUAUGUAUGUAUAAUACAAUCCACUUGAUAAACUACGCAACUACUCCAAUAUACGCUUCUGGGUAUCAUUGGAGGUAAUGCAUAAAUAUUCCACAUUUUCUACACUUUUCGUUUCAAUGUGGUAUCCAUUUAGAUGUAUGUCUUUAAAGCUCAAUAAAUUUCGAGUAGACCAAGUGGCGUACAACGCAUUUUGUAUGGACAAUAUUGUUCCAUUUGGUAACAUAAUCUAGGCUUUUCCUGAGCCUUUAAUUGCAUCUGAUUGUCCUGAUAUUGUUGUUACCUUUACUUUUGCAAGUACCAAGUUCGAGAAAUACUUUCGAUUUCGAAGUAUUGAAUGCGUGGUUGCACUGUCUACAAGACAAAAGUCUUCGCCAUUGCUCUUGUUUUGAGAAUAACCAUAAUUUUUAUCCAUGUUCUCUGAGUAAAGAAAUUACAGUUAAAAGCAGUUAAUUCAUAUUGGAAUACUACUUUUAUUGAAUUGAAAAUGCGAGCAUUAAACCACAAGUACAAAUAACAAGAGUACAUUAAACAUAAAUAAUUCAAUUGAACCCAUAAACUUCAUUCAUUCUUUCAAUAAUAAAGUCUGAAAUAUCCAGGUGGGUUGUCUUCAACUGUCCUGAUAAAUUGGACACUGGAUCAUGUGUUUUCAUCGGUUGAGCCUGGUCGAGGAAAUUGGUCUCGACACCCUUCUCCUUGAGGGAGACUUGAUACAGAUCCACCAGAUGCUUUGGGGUGCGACAAGUACGCAUCCAAUGUCCAUUGCCACCACACUUAUGGCAAACUUCUUCAGGAUUUCUAGGAGUGUUCAUAUAAGCUUUUCCUUUCUGGCGAUUUGCAUUUUUAAAGCUCGGGCUUAGAUUAUGCCUUGGAACCUGGUUGUGAAACUAGACACCAUGGUUCUUGCCUUUCCCAUUCCAUCGGCCUCGCUUAUGGCCAUUUCCUCGUUUGUAAUUAUUUCCACAAGAGGAUGUGGUAUUUCCUUCAAGGGAAGUAGCAUUCACUUCUGGGAAUGAUGCUGAUCCAGUAGGUCAGGACUGAUGAUUCUUCAUCAGAAGCUCAUUGUUUUGCUUAGCUACAAGGAGUACAGAUAUUAGCUGGUUGUUGUACUCAGUAAAGCCUCUUUCUCUAUACUACUGCUGCAAGAGCACGUUGGAGGCAUGAAAGGUGCUAAAAGUCUUUUCCAGCAUAUCUUCCUCAGUGAUUGUUUCUCCACAGAGCUUCAACUGGGAGCUAACUUUGAACAUCGCAUAAUUGUAUUCAGCCACCGUCUUGAAAUCCUGGAUCCUUAGGUGAGUUUACUCAUAACGGGCCCAUGGAAGAAUCACCGUCUUCUGGUGAUUAUAUCUAUUUUUCAGUGCCUUCCAAAGGGUUAAUGGAUCUUCAACCAUGAGGUACUCGCUCUUCAGUCCCUCAUCCAGGUGGCAACGAAUAAAGAUCAUGGCCUUCGCCCGAUCUUGAGAUGAUGCACUGUUAUCCUCUUUGAAGGUUUUCCCAAGAUUUUCCUGCCUCCAGAUGGAUCAUGGCAUUCAUUACCCAAGUAAGGUAGUUUUUUUUCAGUAAUAUCCAAGGUAACAAAAUCAAGCUUUGCCAAGUUCGCCAUUUUCUUUUCUGAAGGAAAAAUGAGGUGUGUAAGAACGUGCAAUAAUGAAAAGGGCGAUUGUUAGAACUUCUAGUUCUUACAAAUUUUGAUCUUUAGACUAAAAUGAUAAGUACUCGACACUUCAAGCUCGAGAUUUACAUGAUUAAUGAGAAGGGCAACUGUACCACACAAUUCUCAUCGAAACAAGUAUAGGAUGAGCGAUUAUUCCGCACCACUUUAAACAGCAGGAAAAUUUAAAUAUACAGAGCAGGGUGGACGAUUAUACCGCACCACCUAAAAUUGCAAUAAAAUUAACUAUGCAGAGCUGAGUGGGUGAUUAUUUCUCACCAUCUAAAAUUGCGAUAAAAUUUAAAUAUGCAGAGCAGGGUGGGUGAUUAUUCCACACCACCUAAAAUUGCAAUAAAAUUAAAUAGCAGGCAAAUUUAAAUAUGCAGGAUAGGGUGGGCGAUUAUACCGCUCCACUUAAAAUUUGCAGUAAAAUUAGAUAUGCAGUCCAAGAUAGGCGAUGAUACCGCACCAUCUUGGAUUGCAUAAAUAAACACUGGGUUAGUAGUCAAGAGUUACACCAAAUAAGAAAUCAAAGAUAUAAGUUAUUGUUAGGUUGAGAACUAGAAGUACACAUGGUGAAAACAGUUCUUCGCGAGGGUAUAUCCAACAAUUGAGGCAGAUGAGGAAGAAGAAUAGUAAAAACCUUAGAGGAAACAUUUUUUUUUCUUUCGAUGAAGGGAAAUGAGAAAUGAUUAUAGAGUCGUGCUGAUAACGUAUUAUAAAUAGGCAAAAGUUAGAGAGAUAACCUUUGUUAGGGACAGGAGCGAGGUUGUUGCAAUAUAUUACACUAACACAAAAUAAUUGCAGAUAGGAGAGAAAUAGGAGGAUACUGAAAAUAUUUGAACUUUUCUUUCUUUCUCACUCUAUAUAUUUUUGAACACUCGUAAUGCUCUAUUUAUUGAGCAAAUACUUUGAAAGCAAACAAAUUAUACUAUUAAGCUUGUGAAAAUUUUACUGUAUGCAUAUGGGCAUACAUACCCUCUAUUUACAACAUUAUAAUAUUUUUCAAAUAAAAAGUAAAAAAUAAUGUGCAGACAUGAAUUCCGUCGAAUUAGCUUAAAAUGUAUUUUUCUUUCAUAUUGUAAAUUAAUUUAAUUUAUUAUCGCCCUCAGCCUAAAAAGUAGAAAGAAAAGUCGUGUGGAAACCCAAUUUUACAAAUUACAUAUGAACACACACCCAGCAGCCGUAGGCCGCCGCACACACAACCACUGCUCCCUCCUCCUUAGUUGUAAUCAACAAUUCUUAUACCCUAAUAAUUUUCUAGGGUUUUAGUCUGCGUGUUCCAAAGGCCAGUUCUCCAUCUAGGGUUUUGCCUGCGCUUUAAUUCAACCAUCUGAAGAGUAAGGAGGGAUUCAGAAUUCCAUUCGGCUGCUCAGGAAUCCCAAUUCUUCAUCGUCAAGGUUUGUUUCGCUUUAAUCUUUGUUAUUGUUAUUCAUCUUUCAAAUUGCUCAACUUUAACAACCUAGUUGCUGCUUAGAUUUUUAGGGUUUUAAUUCAAUUCAAUUCAAUUGUUGUAAGCGACGGGUAAAGAUUUAAGCUCUUGGAACUUACCCAAGAAUUAAUUUCCCUAAUUGUUCGACAUUGUGGUUUAUCAAAUUUGUUUGAGAUGGUUAUGAAUAUUUGUUGUAUCUGUAAUUCCACAGCUUAAAAAAUUCAGCUUUAGUGCUACCUUCGCAUUUAACUUGUGGUGGUUGCUUUGAAUUUUUCAGCAUGUCGUCUUUAAGGAACGCCGUUAGCCGACGGGCUCACAAGGAGCGAGCUCAACCGUGAGUGACCACAUUCCUUUUGCUGUUGGACUUUCGGAUGGUGUUUUUUUGCAUCAGAUGAUGGGAUUAAUGUUUUUGUGUUUUGGGUCCAACUAUUUGAUAGGGAAUCGAGGAAAAAAUUUGGGCUUCUUGAAAAGCAUAAGGACUAUGUUGAGCGUGCGAAAGCAUAUCACAAAAAGGAGGAGACUUUACGGGUAGUUUUAUGAUGGCUUUGUUGUUUUUCUCCUUGGAUUACGUCAUCUGUCAAUAGUCUGGUAAUUUAACUUCCUGAUAUGGUAUACAUCUUAGGCUAUGUCUCAUCUGUCUUUUCACUCAACAGAUACUGAAGCAGAAAGCGUUCUACAUAAACCCAGAUGAGUUCAACUUUAAGAUGAUCAGGACACGAACUGUUAAUGGAGUCCAUAAAUUAGAGUAACAUAAAACUCUCGUUUGCUCUUCUAUAUCAUGUUUCUUUUUCACAUUUGCUGCUCACGUGAUAUGGAUUUUUACUACAGGAGUCAGGCAAACAAGUACACUCCAGAAGAGCUCAUGCUUAUGAAGACCCAAGAUAUUGGAUACAUAUUUCAGAAAGUGCAGAGUGAGAAAAAGGUUAUAAAUAUAUAUCAUGAAGCUAUGGUCUACCGGUUGGUUUUAUGAAUUUAACAUGUUGGUUCUAAUUAUGGUGUUAAUUAAUGCAGAAAUUUGAAAAGUUAACUGCGACGCUGCACUCUCUUGAUAAUCGACCUUCAAGUAGACACGUUUACUUUGCCGAAGACAGGUUUGAGCUUCGCUUCUUGCUUCGCUUUUCUAUACCUUUCACCAUUUUCAUCAGUCCUAUCCUUGUAUAAGGUUUUACAACAUUCCUUCUUAGCCUUCACCUUUGUUUGUACCUCCUCAUUCCACCACCAAGAUUCCUUUUGGUGUGGGGCAAAGCCCUUGGACUCUUCCAAUACCUCUUUUGCUACUUUUCGGAUACAACUAGCCAUGGAAUCCCACAUUUGGCUAGCUUCCCCCUCUUUAUCCCACACACACUGGGUGAUUACUUUCUCUUUGAAAAUGACUUGUUUUUCUUCUUUUAGAUUCCACCAUCUAGUCAUUGGGCACUUCCAAGUCUUGUUCUUUUGUCUCACUCUUUUGAUAUGUACAUCCAUCACCAACAAACGAUGUUGAUUAGCCAUGCUCUCUCCUGGUAUAACUUUGCAAUCCUUACAAGUUAUACGAUCCCCUUUCCUCAUUAGAAGAAAAUCUAUUUGUGUUUUUGACGACCCACUCUUGUAGGUGAUCACAUGUUCUUCUCUCUUCUUAAAGAAGGUGUUGGCUAAGAAGAUAUCAUAUGCCAUUGCAAAAUCCAAGAUAGCUUCCCCAUCCUCGUUUCUCUCCCCAAAACCAUGGCCACUAUGAAAACCUCCAUAGUUGCCUGUCUCCCUGCCCACGUGUCUAUUUAAAUCUCCUCCUAUAAAUAACUUCUCCGUCUGAGCAAUUCCUUGCACCAAGUCUCCAAGGUCUUCCCAAAAUUUCUCCUUCGAACUCGUAUCCAACCCUACUUGAGGUGCGUACGCACUAAUCACAUUGAUAAGUUCUUGUCCUAUUACAAUCUUGAUUGCCAUGAUUCUAUCUCCUACCCUCUUGACAUCUACAACAUCUUGUGUCAAGGUCUUAUCCACGAUGAUGCCAACACCGUUUCUCGUUCUAUUUGUGCCCGAAUACCAAAGUUUAAACCCUGAGUUUUCUAGAUCCUUUGCCUUACUACCAACCCACUUAGUUUCUUGUAGGCACAUAAUAUUUAUCCUUCUCCUCACCAUAACUUCCACUACUUCCAUAGAUUUUCCCGUUAAGGUUCCUAUAUUCCACGUUCCUAAACGCAUUUUGCUCUCUUGAACUCUACCCUUCUGUCCUAGCUUCUUCACCUUCCCCCGUCUAAUAGGAUCAAAGUACUUCUUUUGUGUGCCCCGUGUAAAGUUGAUAGGAGCAUAUGCUCCCAAACAACUUUGAGUGGAGUCGUUCGAAAAGAAGUUUCUAUGGCCCCCUUGCUCAUUUAACACUGCAUCCGGGUGCCGAUGGAGAUACAGCGACCCUUGCUCACUUAUCACUGUGCUCGGGCCACACAGCGCGCCACUUACGGGUGACGCCCUAGAUUUAGCGCGAUUUUGUUCUGGAUUCAUUUUCAUAAGGAUUCGACAUGAUCAUGGAGUGCCGUAAGAACCCAUGAAGGACAAACUGAAAGCUUUCCCAUAACUGUAGGAUUACAUCAAGGCUCAUCCUUAAGUCCUUACCUUUUUGCGUUGGUAAUGGAUGAGUUAACAGGACAUAUUCAAGAUGAUAUUCCUUGGUGUAUGCUUUUCGCAGACGAUAUAGUGUUGAUAGAUGAAACUCAGGAAGGGGUAAAUGCAAAGUUUAACCUUUGGAGAGAAGUGUUGGAAUCUAAAGGUCUUCGCCUAAGCCGAUCAAAGACAGAAUAUAUGGAGUGCAAGUUCAGUGCAAAUGGAGGCCAAAACGAGUUAGGGGUGAGGAUCGGAGAUCAAGAAAUACCAAAGAGCGACCGUUUUCGUUACCUAGGAUCUAUCUUGCAAAAGAACGGAAAAUUAGAUGGAGAUCUCAACCAUAGAAUACAAGCUGGAUGGAUGAAGUGGAAGAGUGCAUCCGGCGUGUUGUGUGACCGCCGUAUGCCACUAAAGCUCAAGGGAAAAUUUUAUAGGAUGGCAAUAAGGCCGGCGAUGCUGUAUGGCACAGAACGUUGGGCGGUGAAGCAUCAACACGUACACAAAAUGGGUGUAGCGGAGAUGAGGAUGCUUCGUUGGAUGUGUGGGCACACGAGAAAGGAUAAGAUUAGGAAUGAGGAUAUCCGGAGUAAAGUAGAAGUAGCCGAAAUUGAAGGAAAGAUGAGAGAAAAUCGGUUACGAUGGUUUGGACAUGUGCAAAGAAAGCCUACUGACGCUCCGAUUAGAAGAUGCGACUAUGGGACAGAGGUUCAGGGCCGAAGGGGUAGAGGAAGACCUAGGAAAACUUUGGAAGAGACUCUAAGAAAAGACUUAGAGUACUUGGAUCUAACGAAGGACAUGACACAGGACCGAGCACAAUGGCGUUCUAAGAUUCAUAUAGCCGAUCCCACUCAGUGACUUAGAUUUUUCAAGUCUCCAACCGAGAAGUUUUCCUCACUCAGGAAAUUAAGGGAACACUACCUCAAUCUACAUGUUCCACUCACAAAGCUUCAUCAAAAGAAAAUUCAAAGAACUUAGCGAAGAAGGCUUUGAUGUAUUUAACACAAUACGUUGAAAUGAAGGAAAGCUUAUUUAUUGAUAUCCCCGAUAAGCUACAAAUAUGUACAUAUACAUGAGUCAAAAUAAAUAAACAAGAGGGAGCCUUCACAAAGGUUGCUUAGGAUAAGUCUCAGCAGUCGGUAGAGCCCCAGAAAGAAAAGGCACUAGAGGGGGAUCAUUUGGAGCCUCAGUACUGGACAGAACCCUAGAAGGAGGAGGCAUCAGAGGUUGAUCAUUUGGAGCUUCAUUACGUGGUACAGCCCCAGAAGACGAAGGCAAUAAAUGCCUUUGGAACAAACCCACAAAUCUUUGAUGAUCAAGUAAAACCUGACCAUCAGAUUCUUUCAUCUGGUCAAGCUUCCUCUUCAUGUUUGUAGCAUAGUCAUGUGCGAGCCGGUACAAUUGUUUAUUCUCAUGCUUGAGCCCUCUAAUCUCCUGUUUGAGACUCAUCACUUCAGCCGCCAAUGAUUCAACUUGGCGGGUUCGAGCAAAUAGGCGUUGGGCCAUAUUAGACACAGAACCUGCACACUGAACACUGAGAGCCAGAGACUCUUUAACAGCUAACUCAUCAGACCGUUUGGAAAGUAGUCUGUUAUCUUUGGGAGUGAGAAGGUUCCUGGCCACCACCGCAGCGGUCAUAUCAUUCUUCAUCAUGGAAUCCCCAACGGUAAGAUGACCAGUAAGGGAGACGAAGGAUGGGCGCCAUAUGUUGUCUGGAGAAGGCGGGGCUGCCUCUUCAACAAGGUUCAAGUCAAAACGACGGUCGGAGGGGCCAGACAUUUUCAAAGGUGUUGAAGAGAGAAGAGGUCGGACAAAUCAAGAUCUUAGAAGUGCAAGAAUGGAGCUUCUACUGGUGGAGAUUCAAGUGUGCUUUGGAACUUAAUGCCAGCCCCUGUAAAAAUUUGCAUUCGACGGAGCUACAGAAAUAGAAGAGGCGCCUGCUCAGAAAUCGAAGAGGCGUUUGCUUUCUCAAAAGCUGGGCUGCUCAGAGACCACGAGGGUCGAUCUCAGAAAUCGAAGAGGCGUUUGCUUUCUCAAAAGCUGGGCUGCUCAGAGACCACGAGGGCCAAUCUUAGAAAUCAAAGAGGCACCUACUUUUCCAGCCUUGUCAGCACCUGUCACACGUACACUCAGCUUUGCGGAAAUUAUGGGCAUUUUGUCGAAGACUUCUGGUGAAGUAGAAAGCACAUGAGUCUUACUGUUCAAUCACCCACUUCCCACACGCAACAGUAGCUCAUGGGUACAACAGAUAACUUUGCCAAAGUUCUCUGCCAAAGUUGAACACGUGAAGCUUGCAGCUCCUACUACAUCGCUCUGACCAAGAAGGGUAAAAGAAUAGCAAAGAAACAACACUAACAAAGUUUAGACACAUAAAUUUUGAAGGUCUAGCUACCAUAUUAUUACCCACAAGGGUAAAGGAACAGUACCACUGCUGGAUAAUUGGAAAGUCCUUGUGUGUUAACCUCUGUGCUUCGUGGCAAGGUAGACUAGCAAACAUGUCCAACCUUUACUCACAUUCGAGAAAACACUCCCAACAAGAUUGCUUGCUCCAAAAUCGAAGAGGCACCGUCCUCCGAAUCUCGAGAGCCAGACUCCCAACAUGACUACUUUCUCAAAAAUCGAAGAGAGGGUAAAGGAACAGUAUCAUUGCUGGAUAAUUGGAAAGUCUCUGUAUGUCAACCUCUGUGCUUCGUGGCAAGGUAGACUAGCAAACAUGCCCAACCUUUACUCACAUUCGAGAAAACACUCCCAACAAGAUUGCUUGCUCCAAAAUCGAAGAGGCACCGCCCUCCGAAUCUCGAGAGCCAGACUCCCAACAUGACUACUUUCUCAAAAAUCGAAGAGAAGGUAAAGGAACAGUAUCAUUGUUGGAUAAUUGGAAAGUCUCUGUAUGUCAACCUCUGUGCUUCGUGGCAAGGUAGGCUAGCAAACAUGCCCAACCUUUACUCACAUUCGAGAAAACACUCCCAACAAGAUUGCUUGCUCCAAAAUCGAAGAGGCACCGCCCUCCGAAUCUCGAGAGCCAGACUCCCAACAUGAUUACUUUCUCAAAAAUCGAAGAGACACUGCUUUCCGAAUCUUGAGAGCCAGGCAUGAUUGCUUUCUCAAAAAUCGAAGAGGCAUCGUUCUCCGAAUCUCGAGAGCCAGAUCCCCGAUAGGAUUGCUUGUUCGAAAACCAAAGAGGCAACACUUUCCCAACUUCAAGAGUUGGAUCUCCUUGGAUAAAGCUGUCUGUAAUCUUCACACGCAACAUCAGCUUUCCAGAUACCACAGACCACUUUUUCAAAGUGCUCUGAUAGAGUUAAAACAUGUAAAGCUGGCAGCUCCCACUACCGUGCUAUGACCAAGCAUGGUAAAGCAAUAACAUUACUACUUGUUGUUAAGGAGACUCCUAUAUAUGUCGACCUCCAUCCCCAACGGACAGACAAACCUGCAAAAAUGCUCAACCCUUCCUCAUAUCUGAGAGGGCACUCCCAACAAAGCCUUUCGAAAUAUUCAGCUUUCUUUCCCCCCGAUAAUACCUCUGCAAACAAGCUAUUCUAGAGCAAGAAUAUCUCAUAUCAUCAGGGUUAAAAGCAAGAGUAUCCCAUAUCAUGCUUUUUCCCUGUCUUUUCCUUUGGCCUUGUUCUUACCUGCAAGACAAGGAGAAAGAGAGCAAUCAGUCAGCACUUGGAAUCAAGCUUCCAGCCAGGAACUGACUGCCUGGAACCCCUUACCUGAUUACUUACCUGGCAUUGCUCUCGAGUACUCAUCUUCAACAUCUUAUCCUCCCAGGGAAGAUACCGCAUCUGCCUGAGGAACAGAUAGGGCAAGUGAAAAGGAUACAAGGAAGCAUGUGGAGACAAGCGUAACAGCACACGUGCCGAUACAUCCAUUACUCUGUCAAAGCAAAAGUAUCCCAUAUCAGCAUGGUCGAACGUACUCUAGAUGUGAUGGACUUGUUUUAACCCUCAAAUUCUUCAGUCGGCCUUAUACUCUGGAGGAAACCAAAAAACCCUCCAGCUCAGUUCAAGAAUAAGCCUGUGGAAAGUUACUUCUUUAAAAGAAAAAGUAUCCCAUAUCAUCUCUUCUCAUUUUUCUUCUCUUUAUCCUUCAUGCUGCCUGCAAGAUAGGGAGAAUGUGAACAAUCAGCCGGAGCUCUGAUUGCUUACCUUGUCUGUCACCUCUUUCAGCAGAUCCCCUAGCUCGGCGACUUGGGGGACUCCUACUACAUGGUUUGUAUCGCGCUUGACCAAGCCUGAAACUACAAGUAAGCUUUAAGUGAAAUUGAUACAUUACCUUGUGCAUCUCCACUAGUUAAAGAUACCACCCUUGGAUGGAGAAAGAGUACUUCCAGAGAAGAUGCCACAUCUACCUAUGAGACAGAUAAGGCAAAUCAAGACGAUACCACACUCCGAUACUUAGAAGUUUCGGGAUUACGAGAUCAUUCUCCCACAAUAUUUCCUAAUGUCAUUUGUACUAAAUCAUUCACUUGUACUCACUAAAGGAGAGCUUGAACAUAUGUACUUGUGUAAACCCUUCACAAUUAAUGAGAACUCCUUUAUUCCGUGGACGUAGCCAAUCUGGGUGAACCACGUACAUCUUGUGUUUGCUUUCUUAUCUCUAUCCAUUUAUAUACUUAUCCACACUAAUGACCGGAGCAAUCUAGCGAAGAUCACAAAAAGCGACCGUUUUCGCUACCUAGGAUCUAUCGUGCAAGAGAACGGAGAAUUAGAUAGAGAUCUCAACCAUAGAAUACAAGCUGGAUGGAUGAAGUGUAAGAGUGCAUCCGGCGUGUUGUGUGACUGUCGUAUGCCACUGAAGCUCAAGGGAAAAUUUUAUAGGACGGCAAUAAGGCCAGCGAUGUUGUAUGACACAGAAUGUUGGGCGGUGAAGCAUCAACACGUACACAAAAUGGGUGUGGCGGAGAUAAGGAUGCUUCGUGGGAUGUGUGGGCACACGAGAAAGGAUAAGAUUGAGAAUGAGGAUAUCCGAGGUAAAGUAGGAGUAGCCGAAAUUGAAGGAAAGUUGAGAGAAAAUCGGUUCCGAUGAUUUGGACAUGUGCAAAGAAGGCCUACUGACGCUCCGGUUCGAAGAUGUGACUACGGGACAGAGGUUCAGGGCCGAAGGGGUAGAGGAAGACCUAGGAAAACUUUGGAAGAGACUCUAAGAAAAGACUUAGAGUACUUGGAUCAAACGGAGGACAUGACACAAAACCGAGCGCAAUGGCGUUCUAAGAUUCAUAUAGCCGACCCCACUUAGUGGGAAAAGACUUUGUUGUUGUUGUUGUUGUUGUAAUUUUUCGUUGCUGCUGUCAUGGAAGAAAAUGCCGAUAAUAUCGGCGAAAUAUCGCCGAUAUUAUCGGUUUUUCGGGUGAUGGAUAUUCUAAGUGGUAUCCGAAUGUUUUCGGCCAAAUAUCGCGAUAUUAUCGAUAAUAUCACGAUAUUUUGGAAAUAUCGGCGAAAUUUUUUUGAGUUUGGUGCAAUCGGACUCCGAGGCGACGUCGGAGAAGAACGCCGGAGACGGUGUGCCUAUUCCCGGGCCGAUUUUGUCCCAAAAACCUUGCAAAAACACGAAUUUUAACAUCAAUUUCACAUAUAAACUUCAGAUUUCACGCAUGCAUAAACGAUUCAACAUAUGUGAAGUCGGUUUAGGGUUUAGGGUUUCAAUGGAAUCUCACCUGACGAAGACGAAGACGAACCAGAUGACUGAACGUGAUCCUUGCUCAGCGGCGCACCGCCAGAGACGACUGAGCCAACUCCGACUUCGCCAGAGCCACGAUCAACGGCGAAGGGAGAAGAGAGAUCGAGAGAUCUCUGUGUGUGUGUGUGUGUUUGGGAUAAGAGAGAUCGGAGAAGGGAGAAGAGAGAUCGGAGAAUGGAGAAGAGAGAUCUCCGAUCUCUGUGUGUGUGUGUUUGGGAGAAGAGAGAUCUCCGAUCUCUGUAGAUGGAGGGUGUGUGCGUGUGUGUGUGUGUGGAAUGAGGGAGAAGUGUGUGUGUGUGUUAUCCGAAAGAAAGAAAAAAAUACAUUGAGGGUGUGUGUGUGUGUGUGUUUGUGGCACACGGUUUGACACAUGGUUUUGUAUAAAACCAUGGUUUUGUGUGUGUGUGUAUGGUUAUGUGUGUGUGUGUUAUCCGAGAGAGUUUUGGCACAUGGUUUUGUAUAAAACCAUGGUUUUGUGUGUGUGUGUGUGUUAUCCGAGAGAAAAAGAAAAAAACUUUGAGGAUGUGUGUGUGUGGCACACGGUUUUGUAUGAAAGAAUUGGAAGUGACUUUGCUCAGAAGAACCAAAUAUUCUGUCAGAGAAGAACCAAAAAAUCUGCUUACUUUAUCUUCUUCUCCACGUGAAGACCAAAUUCUGUCAGAGAAGAACCAAAAAUGCAAUGUAUAAAGUGUAAAAUAUUGUACUAAUUCAUUAUAUAUAAAUGAUUAUGGUGUGUUUAGACUUCUUUCAUUAAUUACUACAUAUUUUCUACACUCACAAUGUUUGUCAGCUCGCUAUAUAAUCAACUUGAUAAUGUUAAAUCAAUCAUGCAAUGCAUUUCCUUCCAAUUUUUUGUGAUAAACUAAUAGAUAAUUGACUAAAUAAACAUCAUGCAAAGUUUCAAUAAAAAUUUCCAAGUUUUUCUUACAAUUUCCGUGGUUUCCAUGUAAUUUUUAUCGAUAUCGAUAUUAUCCCGAUAUUUCCAUCGAUAUUUCCGUGUUUUCGGACUACCGAUAUUUCCGAUAUUACCGAUAUUUUCUUCCUUGGCUGCUGUUAUUUGUAAUCAGACUAGAUAUGGUGAAAGACAAUUUUCACCAUAUUUCGGUUCUUUGUUGUCCCUUAUUAUCGACAGAGGUCUGUUUCCAUUGUUCUAAUUGAUUUUGUUAUGUAUAUUUUUCAUGUUCAUUGAAUUGGUUUUUUCAUUAGUAGGCAUAAGUAUCUAGAGUGAUUUUAACCCCUUUUUUCCAAGCAAAUACACAACAUAAAACACACAAACACAAACACAUCUACUGUACAUGAACUCGAAGUUUCACAUCCACCCUUACAGACACUGAAAAGGAAUACUGUAACAAAUGGGAAGACGCAUACAAAAAACUUGAUCAAUAAAUGAAAAGUGUGUUUCUCCUGAUCCCAUUUUGGACUUGUAUGAAAUGUUUUUGAUCCUGUUCACUUGAGUAUAUUUACAAAAACUAUUAAGGCCCUGAGAAAGGGGACAUAGAAAUACAGUGAUACAAGGACUAUAAGCGUGCUAUUAUAAAUCUGCGAACUGCUUUCUGUCUGGCCCAUGUAGUUAUAAUAGAGUAGAUCCUCAUGGCUUCAACUGGGGACACUAGGCUAAUUUCUUAGUGUUAUUAAUUUUUUCCUGGGAAGACAUUAUUCUUCAAUUCUUUCACAUGGGGAUAAGACCUAUAAUGUUAUAGAAUUCACUUGAGACCACUCCGGGUGAAAGAGUUCGGAGGGAAAUUAGUUUCUUAAUUUCACAUCAUUUGUGUUCCCAUUUGCCAAAUAUGUUUUAUCUUGUUUUGCACAUUUUAAAAAAUAUAUUGUUAAUUAUUUUUUUGCCAGAAAGGAGGCUAGAGAAAUUCAAUCACGUUCAAGAAGUGGAAAAAUGCCGGUUUCUGAGGACAUUCCUGAUCAUAUAAAAAGGUAGAAACAAAAUUUUCGGUGAUAGAGGACAUAUUGAGGAGUUAGGUUUAUUCUGGAAGUUUUGGUCUUUUGAUUUUCAUCAAUUUUGCAUCAAUUAUGCAUUUCUAUGCAUCGAUUAUGGUGAUAAGAUGUUGGCAUUAUUGAUAUCUAUGAAUAAUUGUGCAGUGAUCCCUUUGCACUUUGCGUGGUUGCAUUCUCAAAGCAAUAAGAUUACUUUGUGAUACCAGGCCAUCAAUCGUGAAGUGAAUAGGACUAGAAUGUUUUGUAAUAGAGAAAAGGUUCUAAGCAAACCUAGUCUCUUAAUGUUUAGUCUAAAGGCUGCAACUUGGCUUUUAUACAGUUAUGUGAUUGUGAUUUGUGAUUAUGCCAACUGACCUAAAAGAGCAUAAACAAAUCUUAAUGGUUACAAGUAUAUGGCAAAAAAAAUAAAAAAAUUCUCUCGCAAAAGUUGUUCUGUACAUUAAGUUAUUAACCGGUUUGAUAAACAGCUCUUUGCUGCUAUGCCAACUAAAGCCCAACUAAAGCCCUCAGCCUAAAAAGUAGAAAGAAAAGUCGUGUCGAAACCCAAUUUUACAAAUUACAUCUGAACACACACCCAGCAACCGUAGGCCGCCGCACACACAACCACUGCUCACUCCUCCUCAGUUGUAAUCAACAAUUCUUAUACCCUAAUAAUUUUCUAGGGUUUUAGUCUGCGUGUUUCGAAGGCCAGUUCUCCAUCUAGGGUUUUGCCUGCGCUUUAAUUCCACCAUCUGAAGAGUAAGGAGGGAUUCGAAAUUUCAUUCGACUGCUCAGGAAUCCCAAUUCUUCAUCGUCAAGGUUUGUUUCGCUUUAAUCUUUGUUAUUGUUAUUCAUCUUUCAAAUUGCUCAACUUUAACAACCUAGUUGCUGCUUAGAUUUUUAGGGUUUUAAUUCAAUUCAAUUCAAUUGUUGUAAGCGACGGGUAAAGAUUUAAGCUCUUGGAACUUACCCAAGAAUUAAUUUCCCUAACUGUUCGACAUUGUGGUUUAUCAAAUUUGUUUGAGAUGGUUAUGAAUAUUUGUUGUAUCUGUAAUUCCACAGCUUAAAAAAUUCAGCUUUAGUGCUACCUUCGCAUUUAACUUGUGGUGGUUGCUUUGAAUUUUUUAGCAUGUCGUCUUUAAGGAACGCCGUUAGCCGACGGGCUCACAAGGAGCGAGCUCAACCGUGAGUGACCACAUUCCUUUUGCUGUUGGACUUUCGGAUGAUGUUUUUUUGCAUCAGAUGAUGGGAUUAAUGUUUUUGUGUUUUGGGUCCAAAUAUUUGAUAGGGAAUCGAGGAAAAAAUUUGGGCUUCUUGAAAAGCAUAAGGACUAUGUUGAGCGUGCGAAAGCGUAUCACAAAAAGGAGGAGACUUUACGGGUAGAUUUAUGAUGGCUUUGUUGUUUUUCUCCUUGGAUUUCGUCAUCUAUUAAUAGUCUGGUAAUUUAACUUCCUGAUAUGGUAUACAUCUUAGGCUAUGUCUCAUCUGUCUUUUCACUCAACAGAUACUGAAGCAGAAAGCCUUCUACAGAAACCCAGAUGAGUUCAACUUCAAGAUGAUCAAGACACGAACUGUUAAUGGAGUUCAUAAAUUAGAGUAACAUAAAACUCUCGUUUGCUCUUCUAUAUCAUGUUUCUUUUUCACACUUGCUGCUCACGUGAUAUGGAUUUUUACUACAGGAGUCAGGCAAACAAGUACACUCCAGAAGAGCUCAUGCUUAUGAAGACCCAAGAUAUUGGAUACAUAUUUCAGAAAGUGCAGAGUGAGAAAAAGGUUAUAAAUAUAUAUCAUGAAGCUAUGGUCUACUAGUUGGUUUUAUGAAUUUAACAUGUUGGUUCUAAUUAUGGUGUUAAUUAAUGCAGAAAAUUGAAAAGUUAAAUGCAACGCUGCACUCUCUUGAUAAUCGGCCUUCAAGUAGACACGUUUACUUUGCCGAAGACAGGUUUGAGCUUCCUUCACAUCUUCUAUCCAUGGAGAAUCUUAAUUCUGAAUUAAUGGAUUUUUUUAAUUUGUAAUUUUUCGUUGCUGCUGUUAUUUGUAAUCAGACUGGAUAUGGUGAAAGACCAUUUUCACCAUUUUUCGGUUCUUUGUUGUCCCUUAUUAUCCACAGAGGUCUGUUUCCAUUGUUCUAAUUGAUUUUGUUAUGUAUAUUUUUCAUGUUCAUUGAAUUGGUUUUUUCAUUAGUAGGCAUAAGUAUCUAGAGUGAUUUUAACCCUUUUUUCCAAGCAAACACACACAAACACAAACACAUAUCUACUGUACAUGAACCCGAAGUUUCACAUCCACCCUUACAGACACUGAAAAGGAAUACUGUAACAAAUGGGAAGACGCAUACAUAAAACUUGAUCAAUAUGUUUCUCCUGAUCCCAUUUUGGACUUGUAUGAAAUGUUUUUCAUCCUGUUCACUUGAGUAUAUUUACAAAAACUAUUAAGGCCCUGAGAAAGGGGACAUAGAAAUACAGUGAUACAAGGACUAUAAGCGUGCUAUUAUAAAUCUGCGAACUGCUUUCUGUCUGGCCCAUGUAGUUAUAAUAGAGUAGAUCCUCAUGGCUUCAAUUGGGGACACUAGGCUAAUUUCUUAGUGUUAUUAAUUAUUUCCUGGGAAGACAUUAUUCUUCAAUUCUUUCACAUGGGGAUAAGACCUAUAAUGUUAUAGAAUUCACUUGAGACCACUCGGGUGAAAGAGUUGGGAGGGAAAGUAGUUUCUUAAUUUCACACCAUUUAUGUUCCCAUUUGCCAAAUAUGUUUUAUCUUGUUUUGCACAUUUAAAAAAAUAUAUUGUUAAUUAUUUUUUUGCCAGAGAGGAGGCUAGAGAAAUUCAAUCACAUUCAAGAAGUGGAAAAAUGCCGGUUUCUGAGGACAUUCCUGAUCAUAUAAAAAGGUAGAAACAAAAUUUUUGGUGAUAGAGGACAGAUUGAGGAGUUAGGUUUAUUCUGGAAGUUUUGGUCUUUUGAUUUUCAUCAAUUUUGCAUCAAUUAUGCAUUUCUAUGCAUCGAUUAUGGUGAUAAGAUCUUGGCAUUAUUGCUAUCUAAGAAUAAUUGUGUAGUGAUCCCUUUGCACUUUGCGUGGUUGCAUUCUCAAAGCAAUAAGAUUACUUUGUGAUACCAGGCCAUCAAUCGUGAAGUGAAUAGGACUAGAAUGUUUCGUAAUAGAGAAAAGGUUCUAAGCAAACCUAGUCUUUUAAUGUUUAGUCUAAAGGCUGCAACUUGGCUUUUAUACAAUUAUGUGAUUGUGAUUUGUGAUUAUGCCAACUGACCUACAAGAGCAUAAACAAAUCUUAAUGGUUACAAGUAUAUGGCAAAAAAAAUAAAAAAUUGUCUCGCAAAAGUUGUUCUGUGUAUUAAGUUAUUAACCGGUUUGAUAAACAGCUCUUUGCUGCUAUGCCUACUAAAGCCCAACUUUGCAUGGGAUAAAGAGCUCUUUGGCAAAAUUGAAAUUGAAAUAAAAACAAUAAAUUAGAAGUUGGUCUGCGGCCCAACUAUUAGGUGCUAGUUGGAAUUGUAUUUCGGUUGAGAAUUUCUUUUAUGCCGUUUUUUUGUCCCUGAAUCCUAGGUAGCUCACUCAUGUUAACAAAUUCCUGUUAUUCUUAUGCUACCUUUCAAUUUGUGGAAUAAUUCUUGCAUCUGCCUUCCUGUUUCAUUGUCAGCAAGGAUUCUUGAAGCGCGAUAUCAUUAUUUUGUUUAAGUCUUAAAUUGUUGUCUUCAAUGUGCAGGAAAACAGCUGGUUCCUACAGAGAGCUUGAAGCAAGGAGUAACAGAGUCAAUGAGUUGGAGAAAAUCUAUAUGGAUAUGGCAAUGCAGAAGGAAUUAAAGGUAUUGACAUCUAAAUUUCUUUGCUCAGUUCUGGGAGUUUGGUUGUCUGUGGAUAGUUUUGAAUACGUUUCCGUCUAAAUUACAGAAAAAGGGUAAAAAACGCAAACUAUGUGAAGAUGAGAUUGUCUCCCCAACAUCCAACCCUGUAUUCAAGUGGCGGGCAGAGCGGAAGCGUUAAAAAGGUGUGUGUUGAUCCAUUAUUAGCUUUUCGGUGCAAUGGAAAUCACGCACUUAACUCGGUGUGUUUUUGCAGGAAUGAGCCUGCUAGUGACAUCUAGGCCCUGGAAAAGAAGAAGUACGGACCUUAUGUACCGGAAAUUUUGUCAUCGUUAUUAUGUCAUCGUUAUGAAUUUUUAAAGUUGUGAAGUCUGUUGGAGUAUGAUAUUUAAACUGAAACUUUCUACCGAGUAGUGACUACUUGAUCUCCGACCAAACAGUUGCAAAAUCGCCCUUCAAUUGAGUGCUAGACAAACAAGGAUGGCAGUGGCGCUUGGGUUUCAUCGCGAGUUUAUUACAUAGGUUCGGAAACAGGACAAUCCGACUCGAAAACGAUAUGGUCAAACAUGAAUCAGACAUGAACCAUUAAAAUGAGUUGUCACCCUGGCGGCAGCGUCGAGUGCUUCAUUGACAUGAACACCUCAACGGUGUGGAUUGGCAACCGCGUGAGGGUCAAGACUCCGCAGUCUUGAGUACUCACGAAACACGAAUUGCCAUCCCUGGCCAUGGCCAUAACUAAAAAUACAUUUUAACGGUUUCACUGUCAUGUAAAGUGCAAAAAAAUUCAGGUGAAUAAAUUUCACUACCAUGAGCACAAAGUUAUGACAAUUCAAUAAUUGCUAGCAAAUACUAACAUGCACCAAAGUAUUCUGGCAUCGGCAAUACUUAGUAUGCACCGCAAUCCUUGGCCGCAGCCAAUAGAUCAAAUUCAACGGUCAAAUGUGUCGACAAGCGCUUGUAAGUACUCAAGAAAUAGCACAAAUGAAAGAGUGAAACCUGAGAAACAAUACAGCAUAAGAAUCAUAUGAUGCUCAAACUUUGAAGCAUUGUCAUUAGGUAUUUAAACCCACAAAUAACACAUCCAUAAAAACAACGCAAAAGACAUUCCCACAAAAAUCUUCUAUCUAUCAAGAAGCUAGAAGAUGAUUAUAUUCACAAACAUUACUAACCUACAACCCUAACCCUAAAACCCAACUACAUUUCCAGAAACAGAGACCCCAAUAACCUACUUUGACCUACUGGACAGAACUAAAUCUGAAAUGGAACAUAUUAGUCCGGCAACGAUCGUCAUUUUGUUUUGAAUCUAAGAGUCAUCAUCACCACCGACGUUCUAGGAGGAGGCACCGGUCUUCUUUGGGAGCAGAAGAUUGUGAAUGUUGGGCAUCACACCACCAUUUGCAAUUGUCACAUCCCCAAGAAGCUUGCUGAGCUCCUCGUCAUUCCGCACAGCGAGCUGAAUGUGGUGCGGCACAAUGCGAGUUUUCUUGUUGUCUCUUGCUGCAUUGCCAGCCAAUUCCAGAACCUGUAAAAUCAACCAAAUUGAAACAACAUUAGAAUCAAAACCCGAAUUUGAAAGUUGAAAAUCAAUUCAGUUGCAGAAUCAUAACUUCACCAAAGAAAAUAUCCCAGUUUCAAAAGUCGCACAAACCCUAACUACAAUAACAUCUAAAUUGCGAUAAAAUUUAAAUAUGCAGAGCAGGGUGGAUGAUUAUUGCACACCACCUAAAAUUGCAAUAAAAUUAAAUAGCAGGCAAAUUUAAAUAUGCAGGAUAUGAUGUGCGAUUAUAGCGCUCCACUUAAAAUUUGCAGUAAAAUUAGAUCUGCAGUCCAAGAUAGGCGAUGAUACCGCACCAUCUUGGAUUGCAUAAAUAAACACUGGGUUAGUAGUCAAGAGUUACACCAAAUAAGAAAUCAAAGAUAUAAGUUAUUGUUAGGUUGAGAACUAGAAGUAAACAUGGUGAAAACAGUUCUUCGCGAGGGUAUAUCCAACAAUUGAGGCAGAGGAGGAAGAAGAAUAAUAAAAACCUUAGAGGAAACAUUUUUUUUUCUUUCGAUGAAGGGAAAUGAGAAAUGAUUAUAGAGUCGUGCUGAUAAUGUAUUAUAAAUAGGCAAAAGUUAGAGAGAUAACCUUUGCUAGGGACAUGAGCAAGGUUGUUGCAAUAUAUUACAGUAACACAAAAUAAUUGCAGAUAGGAGAGAAAUAGGAGGAUACUGAAAAUAUUUGAACUUUUCUUUCUUUCUCACUCUAUAUAUUUUUGAACACUCGUAAUGCUCUAUUUAUUGAGCAAAUACUUUGAAAGCAAACAAAUUAUACUAUUAAGCUUGUGAAAAAUUUACUGUAUGCAUAUGGGCAUACAUACCCUCUAUUUACAACAUUAUAAUGUUUUUCAAAUAAAAAGUAAAAAAUAAUGUGUGGACAUGAAUUCCGUCCAAUUAGCUUAAAAUGUAUUUUCUUUCAUAUCGUAAAUUAAUUUAAUUUAUUAUCACCCUUAGCCUAAAAAGUAGAAAGAAAAGUCGUGUGGAAACCCAAUUUUACAAAUUACAUCUGAACACAAACCCAGCAGCCGUAGGCCGCUGCACACACAACCACUGCUCACUCCUCCUUAGUUGUAAUCAACAAUUCUAGGGGUGGAAAAAAUUCCCAAAAUUCCCAAACCAAACCAAAAAAAUACCGAUCCCAAACCAAAAAUGUCCCAAACCGAUUUUCCCAAAAUUUCAGUAUUCCCAUACCGAAAAAAUACCGAAAUUUCGGUAUGGGAAUCGGGAUUGCCUUUCCAAUAUUUCGGUAUUCCCAUACCGAACCGAAAAUAUAUAUUUUUAAUUAUUUUAUAUAUAUAUAUAGAUAAUAAUAUAUAUUGUUUUUUUUAAUUAUAGUUAGAGUUAAUUUGAACCGUUGGAUUGCUUCAAAUUAAUCCAUGCCAUCCAUUCCUUGUUAGGUUUCUCCCAGUCUAGUUUGAUUUCUGAUUUCUCACUCAGCCUUCCAACACCGACAGCCUUCCUUCGAAUCGUCUCUGACUCUCCAGCCGCCCAGCCUUCCUUCACGAAUCACCACCCAGCCACCGCCACGCCAAAGCAUCAAAGACUGAACUCUCCAGCCUUCCUUCACGAAUCGUCUCCGACUCUUGCGAUCUCUCUCUCACGGACAGAACUCUCGAUCUAGCACCGAGUCCGAGUCUCACUCUCACCCCAAAAUAGGUAACUAAUUUAGUGUUUUGAAAUCUAAUUUCUGACACUCAUCCAAAGUAGGGAUUGUUGAAGGGCUCGAGGCCGGUUAUAGACCCGCUGAUGGCCUAAUUUAUUCAUGCCGUUGGCAAUUUUUUUUGUUUGUGUGUUAAUAACUUAUACAUUUCUUCCAUCUUCAUCUGUUAGUUAGUAGUCAUUCAAUAAUUAAAAUGAUGUUUGAUUGAGUUUGUCGUAUUCUUUUUUAAAAAUCGUUUCUUCUUAUACCCUAAUAAUUUUCUAGGGUUUUAGUCUGCGUGUUCCGAAGGCCAGUUCUCCAUCUAGGGUUUUGCCUGCGCUUUAAUUCCACCAUCUGAAGAGUAAGGAGGGAUUCGGAAUUUCAUUCGACUGCUCAGGAAUCCCAAUUCUUCAUCGUCAAGGUUUGUUUCGCUUUAAUCUUUGUUAUUGUUAUUCAUCUUUCAAAUUGCUCAACUUUAACAACCUAGUUGCUGCUUAGAUUUUUAGGGUUUUAAUUCAAUUCAAUUCAAUUGUUGUAAGCGACGGGUAAAGAUUUAAGCUCUUGGAACUUACCCAAGAAUUAAUUUCCCUAAUUGUUCGACAUUGUGGUUUAUCAAAUUUGUUUGAGAUGGUUAUGAAUAUUUGUUGUAUCUGUAAUUCCACAGCUUAAAAAAUUCAGCUUUAGUGCUACCUUCGCAUUUAACUUGUGGUGGUUGCUUUGAAUUUUUCAGCAUGUCGUCUUUAAGGAAUGCCGUUAGCCGACGGGCUCACAAGGAGCGAGCUCAACCGUGAGUGACCACAUUCCUUUUGCUGUUGGACUUUCGGAUGAUGUUUUUUUGCAUCAGAUGAUGGGAUUAAUGUUUUUGUGUUUUGGGUCCAAAUAUUUGAUAGGGAAUCGAGGAAAAAAUUUGGGCUUCUUGAAAAGCAUAAGGACUAUGUUGAGCGUGCGAAAGCAUAUCACAAAAAGGAGGAGACUUUACGGGUAGUUUUAUGAUGGCUUUGUUGUUUUUCUCCUUGGAUUUCGUCAUCUAUUAAUAAUCUGGUAAUUUAACUUCCUGAUAUGGUAUACAUCUUAGGCUAUGUCUCGUCUGUCUUUUCACUCAACAGAUACUGAAGCAGAAAGCCUUCUACAGAAACCCAGAUGAGUUCAACUUCAAGAUGAUCAAGACACGAACUGUUAAUGGAGUCCAUAAAUUAGAGUAACAUAAAACUCUCGUUUGCUCUUCUAUAUCAUGUUUCUUUUUCACACUUGCUACUCACGUGAUAUGGAUUUUUACUACAGGAGUCAGGCAAACAAGUACACUCCAGAAGAGCUCAUGCUUAUGAAGACCCAAGAUAUUGGAUACAUAUUUCAGAAAGUGCAGAGUGAGAAAAAGGUUAUAAAUAUAUAUCAUGAAGCUAUGGUCUACCGGUUGGUUUUAUGAAUUUAACAUGUUGGUUCUUAUUAUGGUGUUAAUUAAUGCAGAAAAUUGAAAAGUUAACUGCGACACUGCACUCUCUUGAUAAUCGGCCUUCAAGUAGACACGUUUACUUUGCCGAAGACAGGUUUGAGCUUCCUUCACAUCUUCUAUCCAUGGAGAAUCAUAAUUCUGAAUUAAUGGAUUUUUUUAAUUUGUAUUUUUCGUUGCUGCUGUUAUUUGUAAUCAGACUGGAUAUGGUGAAAGGCUAUUUUCACCAUUUUUCGGUUCUUUGUUGUCCCUUAUUAUCCACAGAUGUCUGUUUACAUUGUUCUAAUUGAUUUUGUUAUGUAUAUUUUUCAUGUUCAUUGAAUUGGUUUUUUCAUUAGUAGGCAUAAGUAUCUAGAGUGAUUUUAACCCUUUUUUCCAAGCAAAUACACAACAUAAAACACACACAAACACAAACACAUAUCUACUGUACAUGAACCCGAAGUUUCACAUCCACCCUUACAGACACUGAAAAGGAAUACUGUAACAAAUGGGAAGACGCAUACAUAAAACUUGAUCAAUAAAUGAAAGGUGUGUUUCUCCUGAUCCUAUUUUGGACUCGUAUGAAAUGUUUUUCAUCCUGUUCACUUGAGUAUAUUUACAAAAACUAUUAAGGCCCUGAGAAAGGGGAUAUAGAAAUAUAGUGAUACAAGGACUAUAAGCGUGCUAUUAUAAAUCUGCGAACUGCUUUCUUUCUGGCCCAUAUGGUUAUAAUAGAGUAGAUCCUCAUGGCUUCAAUUGGGGACACUAGGCUAAUUUCUUAGUGUUAUUAAUUUUUUCCUGGGAAGACAUUAUUCUUCAAUUCUUUCACAUGGGGGUAAGACCUAUAAUGUUAUAGAAUUCACUUGAGACCACUCCGGGUGAAAGAGUUCAGAGGGAAAGUAGUUUCUUAAUUUCACAUCAUUUAUGUUCCCAUUUGCCAAAUAUGUUUUAUCUUGUUUUGCACAUUUUAAAAAAUAUAUUGUUAAUUAUUUUUAUUCCAGAGAGGAGGCUAGAGAAAUUCAAUCAUGUUCAAGAAGUGGAAAAAUGCCGGUUUCUGAGGACAUUCCUGAUCAUAUAAAAAGGUAGAAACAAAAUUUUCAGUGAUAGAGGACAGAUUGAGGAGUUAGGUUUAUUCUGGAAGUUUUGGUCUUUUGAUUUUCAUCAAUUUUGCAUCAAUUAUGCAUUUCUAUGCAUUGAUUAUGGUGAUAAGAUCUUGGCAUUAUUGCUAUCUAAGAAUAAUUGUGCAGUGAUCCCUUUGCACUUUGCGUGGUUGCAUUCUCAAAGCAAUAAGAUUACUUUGUGAUACCAGGCCAUCAAUCAUGAAGUGAAUAGGACUAGAAUGUUUCGUAAUAGAGAAAAGGUUCUAAGCAAACCUAGUCUCUUAAUGUUUAGUCUAAAAGCUGCAAUUUGGCUUUUAUACAGUUAUGUGAUUGUAAUUUGUGAUUAUGCCAACUGACCUACAAGAGCAUAAACAAAUCUUAAUGGUUACAAGUAUAUGGCAAAAAAAAUAAAAAAUUGUCUCGCAAAAGUUGUUCUGUGUAUUAAGUUAUUAACCGGUUUGAUAAACAGCUCUUUGCUGCUAUGCCUACUAAAGCCCAACUUUGCAUGGGAUAAAGAGCUCUUUGGCAAAAUUGAAAUUGAAAUAAAAACAAUAAAUUAGAAGUUGGUCUGCGGCCCAACUAUUAGGUGCUAGUUGGAAUUGUAUUUCGGUUGAGAAUUUCUUUUAUGCCGUUUUUUUGUCCCUGAAUCCUAGGUAGCUCACUCAUGUUAACAAAUUCCUGUUAUUCUUAUGCUACCUUUCAAUUUGUGGAAUAAUUCUUGCAUCUCUGCCUUCCUGUUUCAUUGUCAGCAAGGAUUCUUGAAGCGCGAUAUCAUUAUUUUGUUUUAAGUCUUAAAUUGUUGUCUUCAAUGUGCAGGAAAACAGCUGGUUCCUACAGAGAGCUUGAAGCAAGGAGUAACAGAGUCAAUGAGUUGGAGAAAAUCUAUAUGGAUAUGGCAAUGCAGAAGGAAUUAAAGGUAUUGACAUCUAAAUUUCUUUGCUCAGUUCUGGGAGUUUGGUUGUCUGUGGAUAGUUUUGAAUACGUUUCCGUCUAAAUUACAGAAAAAGGGUAAAAAACGCAAACUAUGUGAAGAUGAGAUUGUCUCCCCAACAUCCAACCCUGUAUUCAAGUGGCGGGCAGAGCGGAAGCGGUAAAAAGGUGUGUGUUGAUCCAUUAUUAGCUUUUCGGUGCAAUGGAAAUCACGCACUUAACUCGGUGUGUUUUUGCAGGAAUGAGCCUGCUAGUGACAUCUAGGCCCUGGAAAAGAAGAAGUACGGACCUUAUGUACCGGAAAUUUUGUCAUCGUUAUUAUGUCAUCGUUAUGAAUUUUUAAAGUUGCGAAGUCUGUUGGAGUAUGAUAUUUAAACUGAAACUUUCUACCGAGUAGUGACUACUUGAUCUCUGACCAAACAGUUGUUGCAAAAUCGCCCUUCAAUUGAGUUACAUAGGUUCGGAAACAGGACAAUCCGACUCGAAAACGAUAUGGUCAAACAUGAAUCGGACAUGAACCAUUAAAAUGAGUUGUCACCAUGGCAGCAGUGUCGAGUGCUUCAUUGACAUGAACACCUCAACGGUGUGGAUUGGCAACCGCGUGAGGGUCAAGACUCCACAGUACGUACUCACAAAACACGAAUUGCCAUCCCUGUCCAUAGCCAUAACUAAAAAUACAUUUUAACGUUUUCACUAUCAUGUAAAGUGCAAAAACAUUCAUCUGAAUAGAUCAAAUUCAACGGUCAAAUGUGUCGAUAAGCGCCUGUAAAUACUCAAGAAAAAUAGCACAAAUGAAAGAGUGAAACCUGAGAAAACAAUACAGCAUAAGAAUCAUAUGAUGCUCAAACUUUGAAGCAUUGUCAUUAGGUAUUUAAACCCACAAAUAACACAUCCAAAAAACAACGCAAAAGACAUUCCCACAAAAAUCUUCUAUCUAUCAAGAAGCUAGAAGAUGAUUAUAUUCACAAACAUUACUAACCUACAACCCUAACCCUAAAACCCAACUACAUUUCCAGAAACAAAGACCCCAAUAACCUACUUUGACCUACUGGACAGAACUAAAUCUGAAAUGGAACAUAUUAGUCCGGCAACGAUCGAC